rnacentral:lncRNA from 1 species
UGAACAGAGGAUGGUUUAUACCACGGUACAACACUAGAGGGAGUAUUUGUUCACGGACAGGGUAGAGCUUUUAGCCCGUUAGAGAUGUACUUUGUUGGGUGUAUGUCGCUGCUGCAGUAUUUUUUUGCACUUGUUGAUUCUUCUACGGUGUGAGAAUUGAUGUAGUGUGAAAAUGGAAUAAACUGUCUCUGUGAAUAAUUCUAUGAUAUUAAAUAAACCGAUUGUCUAUUUGAUCGUUGGUUGGCUUAAACUUUUCAUGUUCUUAUUUCUGAUGUCGAUUUCCUCAAUGGCAGAAUCCUACGCUCUAUAAAUAGAACACAUCAAAAAGAAGUUUGAUAUUUUUAUCAUAAAAAAGCUACAUAGUACUUCUUUUAGAUUAUUAUUUUUAGGGAAAACACCUGAGCUUUAUUAAGGAGGUCAGGUAGCAGAUACAAAUCCCGGGGGCUCCAGUAGCAAAACAUGGCGGCCUAGACAUAAAACUAGAGAUAUUCUAGCAGUUUAUGGCCAUUUACAUUGUACACCCUUGUUUCAUGUUUAAAGGAAACAUCUCGUAGAACCUCCAGCUUGCGCGCGACUCCAGGGUGUGCAAGGAAACAUCUCGUAGAACCUACAUUGUACACCGUUGGUUAAGAUCAUGGGUUCCUCUCCUCUGCUUCCUUCAUACCGUAGAUACUUCUGACAACCCCCAUAGAAUCAGAGGCUAUAACAGCCUUGUACAGAUUUAGGUCCUGCAUCAAGCACAGCCCUUCGAAGCACGCCAUUGCCUCAACACGAACUGGAUCGUAAACAGUCUCCAUAACCAAUGCCGAAGCCCCCAGGUAGGUACCAUACCAUUAUCAGCACGAAAAAUAGCUGCAGCCGAGCACCUGUUGAUCUCAUAUGACAAUGUAGCAUCAACAUUACCUUUCGCAGCACCCUUUGGAGGACGGAUCCAACGCUGCCUCUCCUGCUGACCUCUCUGUUCUGCUGAAUCGAUCAAGCCCAGCUCAUGCAAAAAUUGCAUGUUUCAAAGGGCUUUGAUAAACAUCUUCAUGUAUGAUAUCUCGUCUUGCCUUCCAGAUUGCCCACGGGGUAGUAAUCAUCUUCACAUAAUCUGUACUGGAUAGGAAAUCAUCCAUCUUGAACACCGAGCUUCUAGCAUUUGGCUCACCGCAGCUCCUCGGUUUAUCAUAGAGUUCUUCAUCGACUAAUACCCUAACACAUCAAUCCAUUCUGCACUCUCGUAAUGAAUGUCUCCACAAAUCCUCGCUCCAGCCACAAAUGCUGCAAAACACUAGUCGGUGCCAUGUUCCUGUGGUGAGCAACAUCUGCAGUGGGUAAGCUUUGGCGCGCAAGCCUCCAAGCAAAAACUUUUAAUGUAGCCGGUAUUGAAUGCUUCUACAUUCUUGUCCAUGAUCUUUCAUUAUUAUUUUUCAACUCAGGCCCACAUGCUCGCCCAUCUAGUAUUUUUUUUUGAGAAUUCUAGUACUCCCUCCGUAAACUAAUAUAAGAGCAUUUAGAUCACUAUUUUAGUAAUCUAAACACUUUUAUAUUAGUUUACAGAGGGAGUACUUCUUUUAGAGAUUAUUACAAUCCGCAGUACUAGUACUGGGCUGGAAAAAUGUAAGAACAAGUAACAAGCUAUGAAGUGCUUUUUUUUAACAAGCUAUGAAGUGCUUGGUUGCCCUCACCACCCACCACCAUUCCUUAUUGUGGGCCUUCAUAGCUGCCUGGUCAAUUGGUACUUGGGCCACGAAUGAGUUCACCAGUGAAAUGUCAGUUGCGAAAAACAAAAUCGGUAAGUGGGUUGGCCUGUGUGGCUUGUGUCCACCUGUUAACAUUAUACAUGAAUGACACCCCUCAUUUCUCUAAAGAAAAAAGAAAUAUGUUGUCUUGAUUCUAUUCUCACUCUGAUUUUGUUUUGUUUAUUCAUGAGUGGAAGUUUUGGCUAAGAUAAAUGUCGAAUGUGGUUCGCUUGGAAAAUGGAUAAAGUGGGACGCGGUAAUUGCUAGGUGCGUGCAAACUUUCGUGAGCAAAUGUCAUGCACCCAAAGCCUGGGCUGCCGGCGAUAUUCAGCAAUCAGCACGCCAAGGCCAUGGGCUGGAUCAACUGCUAGUGAAAACACUCUGCCACACCAAGCAUAAUAUCAUCUCGCGUGGUUACCUUACCUGCGCCUAAUCCGCCACAGCUUAGCGACACGAUGAGCAUCUGACAGGGCCGCCAUGAUCUGCAGAUUCAGAGAUUCUGACUGUGUGACCGCCCAAACGCUAGCCAGCGAGACAGAGUUGCUCGCUUCCAUCGCACGCACACACGCACGUACAAGGCCUCAGACCUGGCGAAUCUUUGCGUCUGCGUGCAGGCGAAACGCUUGCUCGUCUCUGCUGUUGUUUUGAUCUGAUUCAGUCAUACAGUUACGCUUGCUGCGUUGCUCAUCUGUUCCGCGUGGAGGCGAGCGAAACCACCACUAGCAAGCGACCGCGCUCCCGAGGACACUAUUGGUAAACACAGUGCUGAAGCCAAGCUUUCGCAGCGGGGGGAGCAGGUGGCACCCUGCAACGACGUCGAUGGGGACGACACUCUUUGCGUUUCUGACGACGAAAAACUGCACACAGAAACGGAGCCGUGCUCCAAUCAUCUCUAUAUAUAUUUUAGAGAGAAACUGGAGAAGCACAAAGAUCUCACAAGAGGAGAACAGAUGUUCCUGCUUCUCAACAGCAUUUUAUUUAUUUAUUUAUAAUAAUGGAAGAAAUCUACCAGCAUCCUCCUAUAUGAUGCAAACAGCCCAGCAACACAUCUUUCAGUAAGCUAGUUCCAGAUAAGAAUCCGGUGAAAUUCGGGCAGCCAGAUCCGUGCGUGAGAGAGACAGCCGACAGCUGAGCUGAGCUUAUUAGCAGUGCUCCCAUCAAAUCAAGUCAUGGAAUUACUAUUAGUUGAAGACAUGUAGGAACCGUAAAAGAAUGAAUUCGAGGAUGCCCGGGGCCGGAUCACCUUUUAUUGGGACUCAUGUGCUGCCACCAUCCCUGGCCGGCUCCAUGGGCUUUAAAAAAUGUUCAGGGACAUGGCUCGGUCUCCAUCACUGACAGGAGUUAGUACGCCGGCCCCCGGAAAUUUUCACACGGGAGAAACAGCUCCAAGAAAAUCACCCAUCCCCAGCCAGCUCGCCCAGCUCGGCUCAGCUCAGAGACACUGUAGGAAAGGGACGAGGUUCAUGUCAAAUUCCCAGGCCUACCCCCCUCUCCCGAGGAAAGAGACGAGGUUUUGACGGAAUGACCAAAAGGCGGAGCGAUAGAGAGGAAAGCCACCAUGUCUGCCCCCUCUCGCCCGGCCUGCAGCCUCAUCGUGCGUGCCUGAAUGAAUGGCGCAGAGCGCUGCCAAUAUAAUUCAGAGAUGAUUGAGCUACAGCCAUGCACAUAGAUAGGCCUGCGUGUGAGCUGAGCCUAUACAUAGCUAAGUAUUGCGUGCAAACAAAUGGCGGGUAGCCUCCGAUAAUUCAUAAACAAACAUGUNNNNNNNNNNNNNNNNNNNNNNNNNNNNNNNNNNNNNNNNNNNNNNNNNNNNNNNNNNNNNNNNNNNNNNNNNNNNNNNNNNNNNNNNNNNNNNNNNNNNNNNNNNNNNNNNNNNNNNNNNNNNNNNNNNNNNNNNNNNNNNNNNNNNNNNNNNNNNNNNNNNNNNNNNNNNNNNNNNNNNNNNNNNNNNNNNNNNNNNNNNNNNUCCAAAGUAGAGUAUUCAGGGCCUCCUCCUCCCCUCUCCUCUCUAGGGAACUUAUGCUGAUUUGACGCGAGCAAAGCAGCAGCAGCAGCGGCAGCUGGGAGUAGCAUAAAUUAGUGCCACUGCCGGGGGGAAGCCUACCGUGCCAUAGGCCACUGUUGCUGUGGCAUUUGUAUACUAGGCGCGCGCAGGCUUUUCCCUUUGUUUCUUGCUCCUGUGAAGGAAAGACUCUGAAGAAAAGAGAGAGGGCUCGUGCUGCAACUGCAAUGCGAUGCACAGCACGCGCACUGCACCUGUAGCUCUACACACGUAGGAGGAGGAAAUCCCUGCUACUGUUCAAGCCUGAUCUUUUGGGGGCUUGCCCGGGCGCCUAUCCAUGGUUUUCUGUACGCGCUCAUACUAUAUGCGGCUCUGCGAGGCACAUGCCCUGCCAUGGAGUGCGCUUGUGCUGGGAAGAUGGAGUGAGGAUAAGAAAUUGUUCUGAAGUUCUUCAUGGGGGAGAUUGUUUCUUUCGGUGUGGUGUGGUGCGUGCACCGGCCACAAGAUCCAGGAAUCCCAGGAACAAUUACAGGCUCCAUCCAGACAUGGAAAACGCUGGUGGGAAUUAGUAAAAGUUUGGAGACAUCCAGCGUUAAAAAUAAAGGAGAAAAGGAAUCGACGCCUGAGAGAUUCGAACUCUCGCGGGGAAACCCCAUGUACUUAGCAGGCACACGCCUUAACCACUCGGCCAAAGCGUCUUUUGUAUUUACACGGGCAUACUGAGCCUUUUCUACGAAAGGAAGCAUGCUCGAAACAGAGCAAAAUGAUGAGGAAGAUGUCGUCCAGGAGAAAAUAUCACGGCAUAGAUUGACGAAAAUUAAUUGGAAAAUCACUCCUCAAAACCGGAAGUUGGCUUGGCCUUGGCGACUCGAGAAGGAGAAGAACCAGAGAGAGAGAGAGCGCGUGAACGAACAAUCUCGAUCCAUCUCUCCACCUCUUCGGACCCGACAAGACACGACCGGCUAGCUAAUUACAACAUCACACUGGUUAAAAUCUCCAAGAACUGAACAAUGUUAUUACAUACAUCGAGGAGGAAGCCUCCAUGUUUGGUUUCUUCCCAUGAUUCCAUGGAUCUCUCUGCGCUCUGCUCCCUCUUCUUCUUCUCUAGCUAGAUCCCUCUGGUUGCCGUGCGUGUGCUCGACCUCCUGGCCUUGUGCGCGCCGCCGUAGCCUUGAAGAGCUAGCUCCCGCGAGUGAGCUGAAGCAGCCGUAAUGGCGGACCGAGUCGGGAGCAGCAUCAAGGGCAUACAUAUAUGUGCAGACGGAGCUGUGGGCGGACGGUCAUGGGCUCAUGGCAUGAAGAGCCUGUCGCCGCACUUGCAGCGCCAGGCCUCCGGGUAGUACUCGAGCGGGAAGCUGACGCCGGGCUGGAUGGCCACGUGCACCGGCCGGCACGGGUGGCACCGCCCGCACCGGCUCCGGCACGUCGGCGGCGACGAGCCCGGGCCCACCAGCUCCCUCCGCCGCGCCUCCUCCGCAGGCUCCACCCACGAGUACUGCUCAAGGGCUGCUUUACCGCCGCCGCCGCCGCUCCACCGGCUCGUCGCGGCGCACCCACCUGCAGGAGACACACGCACAUGUGCGCGCGUACGUGUGAGCUAGAGCUCGCCAUGUAUGUAAUGCCGUAGAAACACGGAGAAAGUGCAUGUCGCUGGCUGUCUUACCGAGGGCAGCGGCGAGGAAGAGGAGGUGCAGGAGGAGCGCCGCGGCGAGGCCGCGCCGGCUCGCCCAGCCCAUGGGUGGCCGAGCGUCUCCGCUCAGCUAGGUCACCAGAUCUCGUACACCCACCCAGCGGCCGGCGUAGGUGUCGCGCCUGGCGGGCUAGCUCGAGGACGGGCCGGAGGUGGUGACCGGUGAGGGGGGAGCAGGACAGGAGGGAGAAGAAAGCAGAGCGAGAGCGGCGCUGAAUGCCGCUGGGUGCUGCUGCCGUGCACGAGGGGGACUGACGCGGACGGAAGGGGGUGGAGUGGAGUGGCGUUUGUGUGUGCGCGCGAGUCAAUCCGCACGCACGCACGGAGUAGUCAUGGACCGUGCGUGCGGGCUCUGCAGCGCCGGAGGCAUAAAGGAGAGAGAGAGGAGGUGAGGCCAAACUCCACCGCGCGACCCCAAUCUGUCCGCGCGCGUCCGUUUAUGGUAAAACGGAAGAAUAGCGCGGCCCAACGCGCGGCCUUAAACAGACAAAUGUCCGGAUUCCGUCCGUUUUCGACGCAUCCCCGGCCCAAAUUUGCACUCGGUUUGGGGUGAAACGGACGCGCGCGGACGGCCUAGACGCACGCCCUUGUCCCUCCCCCGCCUGUCGGGGACACUAGCAGUCCCUUCGCUCCCAGCGCUUCCACCCUCUCUCUCCCGCCCCGCCCCGCCGCCGGAGAUGCCGCUAUUCUCCGGCCGCCUCCUCCGGGCAGCCCCCAGCCGUCCCUACCAAACCACGUCUCGACAUGGCCGCCACCACGCCCGCGCUUUCGCCGUAGUUUUGGCCGUCGAUCAGAGGAGGUUCGGCCGUCGCCGUCUUUGCCGGUGGUAGAGGGGACACGACCGCCGGCGACGUACCACGGCGGCCUCGGCAGCUUGCGACGAGAGCUCCAGAGCGGCCAGUAGCCAGCCGACAACCACCCCUACUGCGUCGAGGUGAUCAUCGCGGCCUCUUUGCCACCACGACCGCAAGGUGUUCGACAUUUUGCCCACAAAGGUAUGGACAGUGGAGACGAGUUUUUCUUCCAUCACUUCCUGUGUUCAUCGGACGAUUCGUGGGAGACUGAAGGAAAUAUGCCCUAGAGGCAAUAAUAAAGUUAUUAUUUAUUUCCUUAUAUCAUGAUAAAUGUUUAUUAUUCAUGCUAGAAUUGUAUUAACCGGAAACAUAAUACUUGUGUGAAUACAUAGACAAACAAAAUGUCACUAGUAUGCCUCUACUUGACUAGCUCGUUGAUCAAAGAUGGUUAUGUUUCCUAGCCAUUGACAUGAGUUGUCAUUUGAUUAACGAGAUCACAUCAUUAGGAGAAUGAUGUGAUUGACUUGACCCAUUCCGUUAGCUUAGCACACGAUCGUUCAGUAUUCUGCUAUUGCUUUCUUCAUGACUUAUAUAUGUUCCUAUGACUAUGAGAUUAUGAGACUCCCGUUUACCGGAGGAACACUUUGUGUGCUACCAAACGUCACAACGUAACUGGGUGAUUAUAAAGGUGCUCUACAGGUGUCUCCAAAGGUACUUGUUGGGUUGGCGUAUUUCGAGAUUAGGAUUUGUCACUCCGAUUGUCGGAGAGGUAUCUCUGGGCCCACUCGGUAAUGCACAACACUAUAAGCCUUGCAAGCAUUGCAACCAAUGAGUUAGUUGCGGAAUGAUGUAUUCAAGAACGAGUAAAGAGACUUGCCGGUAACGAGAUUGAACUAGGUAUUGAGAUACCGACGAUCGAAUCUCGCGCAAGUAAUACCAAUGACAAAGGGAACAACGUAUGUUGUUAUGCGGUUUGAACGAUAAAGAUUUUCGUAGAAUAUGUGGGAGCCAAUAUGAGCAUCCAGGUUCCGCUAUUGGUUAUUGACCGGAGACGUGUCUCGGUCAUGUCUACAUAGUUCUCGAACCCGUAGGGUCUGCACGCUUAAAGUUUGAUGACGGUUAUAUUAUGAGUUUAUGUGUUUUGAUGUACCGAAGGUAGUUCGGAGUCCCGGAUGUGAUCACAGACAUGACGAGGAGUCUCAAAAUGGUCGAGACAUGAAGAUUGAUAUAUUGGACGACUAUAUUCGGACACCGGAAUGGUUCCGGGGGUUAUCGGAUAUAUACCGGAGUACCGGGGGUUACCGGAACCCCCCGGGGGUUUAAUGGGCCUACAUGGGCCUUAGUGGAGAAGAGGAGGGGCGGCCAGGGCAGGCCGCGCGCCCCCUCCCCCUCUAGUCCGAAUUGGACAAGGAGGGGGGGGGGGCGGCGCCCCCCUUUCCUUCCUCUCUCCCUCCUCCUUCCCCCUUCUCCUAAUCCAACAAGGAAGGGAGGGAGUCCUACUCCCGGUGGGAGUAGGACUCCUCCUGGCGCGCCUCCUCCUGGCCGGCCGCCUCUCCCCCCUUGCUCCUUUAUAUACGGGGGCAGGGGGCACCCCAUAGACACAACAAUUGAUCUCUUGAUCUCUUAGCCGUGUGCGGUGCCCCCCUCCACCAUAAUCCACCUCGAUAAUAUCGUGGCGGUGCUUAGGCGAAGCCCUGCGUCGGUAGAACAUCAUCAUCGUCACCACGCCGUCGUGCUGACGAAACUCUCCCUCAACACUCGGCUGGAUCGGAGUUCGAGGGACGUCAUCGAGUUGAACGUGUGCAGAACUCGGAGGUGUCGUGCGUUCGGUACUUGAUCGGUCGGAUCGUGAAGACGUACGACUACAUCAACCGCGUUGUGCUAACGCUUCCGCUUUCGGUCUACAAGGGUACGUGGACACACUCUCCCCUCUCGUUGCUAUGCAUCACCAUCAUCUUGCGUGUGCGUAGGAUUUUUUUUUAAAUUACUACGUUCCCCAACAGUGGCAUCCGAGCCAGGUUUUAUGCGUUGAUGUAAUAUGCACGAGUAGAACACAAGUGAGUUGUGGGCGAUAUAAGUCAUACUGCUUACCAGCAUGUCACACUUUGGUUCGGCGGUAUUGUUGGAUGAAGCGACCCGGACCGACAUUACGCGUACGCUUACGCGAGACUGGUUCUACCGACGUGCUUUGCAUACAGGUGGCUGGCGGGUGUCAGUUUCUCCAACUUUAGUUGAACCGAGUGUGGCUACGCCCGGUCCUUGAGAAGGUUAAAACAACACUAACUUGACAAACUAUCGUUGUGAUUUUGAUGCGUAGGUAAGAACGUUUCUUGCUCAGCCCGUAGCAGCCACGUAAAACUUGCAACAACAAAGUAGAGGAUGUCUAACUUGUUUUUGCAGGGCAUGUUGUGAUGUGAUAUGGUCAAGGCAUGAUGCUAUAUUUUAUUGUAUGAGAUGAUCAUGUUUUGUAACCGAGUUAUCGGCAACUGGCAGGAGCCAUAUGGUUGUCGCUUUAUUGUAUGCAAUGCAAUCGCCCUGUAAUGCUUUACUUUAUCACUAAGCGGUAGCGAUAGUCGUAGAAGCAUAAGUUGGCGAGACGACAACGAUGCUACGAUGGAGAUCAAGGUGUCGCGCCGGUGACGAUGGUGAUCAUGACGGUGCUUCGGAGAUGGAGAUCACAAGCACAAGAUGAUGAUGGCCAUAUCAUAUCACUUAUAUUGAUUGCAUGUGAUGUUUAUCUUUUAUGCAUCUUAUCUUGCUUUGAUUGACGGUAGCAUUAUAAGAUGAUCUCUCACUAAAUUAUCAAGGUAUAAGUGUUCUCCCUGAGUAUGCACCGUUGCGAAAGUUCUUCGUGCUGAGACACCACGUGAUGAUCGGGUGUGAUAGGCUCUACGUUCAAAUACAACGGGUGCAAAACAGUUGCACACGCAGAAUACUCAGGUUAAACUUGAUGAGACUAGCAUAUAACAGAUAUGGCCUCGGAACACUGAGACCGAAAGGUCGAGCGUGAAUCAUAUAGUAGAUAUGAUCAACAUAGUGAUGUUCACCAUUGAAACUACUCCAUCUCACGUGAUGAUCGGACAUGGUUUAGUUGAUAUGGAUCACGUGAUCACUUAGAGGAUUAGAGGGAUGUCUAUCUAAGUGGGAGUUCUUAAGUAAUAUGAUUAAUUGAACUUAAAUUUAUCAGGAACUUAGUACCUGAUAGUAUUUUGCUUGGCUAUGUUGAUUGUAGAUAGAUGGCCCAUGCCGUUGUUCCGUUGAAUUUUAAUGCGUUCCUUGAGAAAGAAAAGUUGAAAGAUGAUGGUAGCAAUUACACGGACUGGGUCCGUAACUUGAGGAUUAUCCUCAUUACUACACAGAAGAAUUACGUCCUGGAAGCACCGCUAGGUGCCAAACCUGCUGCAGGAGCACACCAGAUGUUAUGAACGUCUGGCAGAGCAAAGCUGAUGACUACUCGAUAGUUCAGUGUGCCAUGCUUUACGGCUUAGAACCGGGACUUCAACGACGUUUUGAACGUCAUGGAGCAUAUGAGAUGUUCCAGGAGUUGACGUUAAUAUUUCAAGCAAAUGCCCGGAUUGAGAGAUAUGAAGUCUUCAAUAAGUUCUACAGCUGUAAGAUGGAGGAGAAUAGUUCUGUCAGUGAGCAUAUACUCAGAAUUUUUGGAUAUAACAAUCACUUGAUUCAACUGGGAGUUAAUCUUCCGGAUGAUAGCGUCAUUGACAGAAUUCUUCAAUCACUACCACCAAGCUACAAGAGCUUCGUGAUGAACUAUAACAUGCAAGAGAUGAAUAAGACGAUUCCCGAGCUCUUCGCAAUGCUAAAAGCUGCGGAGGUAGAAAUCAAGAAGGAGCAUCAAGUGUUGAUGGUCAACAAGACCACCAGUUUCAAGAAAAAGGGCAAAGGGAAGAAGAAGGGGAACUUCAAGAAGAACAGCAAACAAGUUGCUGCUCAGGAGAAGAAACCCAAGUCUGGACCUAAGCCUGAGACUGAGUGCUUCUAUUGCAAACAGACUGGUCACUGGAAGCGGAACUGCCCCAAGUAUUUGGCGGAUAAGAAGGAUGGCAAGGUGAACAAAGGUAUAUGUGAUAUACAUGUUAUUGAUGUGUACCUUACUAAUGCUCGCAGUAGCACCUGGGUAUUUGAUACCGGUUCUGUUGCUAAUAUUUGCAACUCGAAACAGGGACUACGAAUUAAGCGAAGAUUGGCUAAGGACGAGGUGACGAUGCGCGUGUGAAAUGGUUCCAAAGUCGAUGUGAUCGCAGUCGGCACGCUACCUCUACAUCUACCUUCGGGAUUAGUUUUAGACCUGAAUAAUUGUUAUUUGGUGCCAGCGUUGAGCAUGAACAUUAUAUCUGGAUCUUGUUUGAUGCGAGACGGUUAUUCAUUUAAAUCAGAGAAUAAUGGUUGUUCUAUUUAUAUGAGUAAUAUCUUUUAUGGUCAUGCAUCCUUGAAGAGUGGUCUAAUUUUGUUGCAUCUCGAUAGUAGUGAUACACAUAUUCAUAAUAUUGAAGCCAAAAGAUGCAGAGUUGAUAAUGAUAGUGCAACUUAUUUGUGGCAUUGCCGUUUAGGUCAUAUCGGUGUAAAGCGCAUGAAGAAACUCCAUACUGAUGGACUUUUGGAACCACUUGAUUAUGAAUCACUUGGUACUCGCGAACCGUGCCUCAUGGGCAAGAUGACUAAAACGCCGUUCUUCGGAACUAUGGAGCGAGCAACAGAUUUAUUGGAAAUCAUACAUACAGAUGUAUGUGGUCCGAUGAAUGUCGAGGCUCGCGGUGGGUAUCGUUAUUUUCUCACCUUCACAGAUGAUUUGAGCAUAUAUGGGUAUAUCUACUUAAUUAAACAUAAGUCUGAAACAUUUGAAAAGUUCAAAGAAUUUCAGAGUGAAGUUGAAAAUCAUCGUAACAAGAAAAUAAAGUUUCUACGAUCUGAUAGUGGAGGAGAAUAUUUGAGUUACGAGUUUGGUCUUCAUUUGAAACAAUGCGGAAUAGUUUAGCAACUCACGCCACCCGGAACACCACAGCGUAAUGGUGUGUCCGAACGUCGUAAUCGUACUUUACUAGAUAUGGUGCGAUCUAUGAUGUCGCUUACCGAUUUAUCGCUAUCAUUUUGGGGUUAUGCUUUAGAGAUGGCCGCAUUCACGUUAAAUAUGGCACCAUCGAAAUCCGUUGAAACGACGCCUUAUGAACUGUGGUUUGGCAAGAAACCAAAGUUGUCGUUUCUUAAAGUUUGGGGUUGCGAUGCUUAUGUGAAAAAGCUUCAACCUGAUAAGCUCGAACCCAAAUCGGAGAAAUGUGUCUUCAUAGGAUACCCAAAGGAAACUGUUGGGUACACCUUCUAUCACAGAUCUGAAGGCAAGACUUUUGUUGCUAAAUUUGGAUCCUUUCUAGAGAAGGAGUUUCUCUCGAAAGAAGUGAGUGGGAGGAAAGUAGAACUUGAUGAGGUAACAGUACCUGCUCCCUUAUUGGAAAGUAGUUCAUCACAGAAACUGGUUCUUGUGACGUCUACACCAAUUAGUGAGGAAGUUAAUGAUGAUGAUCAUGAAACUUCAGAUCAAGUUGUUACUGAACCUCGUAGAUCAACCAGAGUAAGAUCCGCACCAGAGUGGUACGGUAAUCCUGUUCUGUAGGUUAUGUUACUUGACCAUGACGAACCUACGAACUAUGAAGAAGCUAUGGUGAGCCCAGAUUCCGCAAAAUGGCUUGAGGCCAUGAAAUUCUAGAUGGGAUCCAUGUAUGAGAACAAAGUGUGGACUUUGGUUGACUUGCCCGAUGAUCGGCAAGCCAUCGAGAAUAAAUGGAUCUUCAAGAAGAAGACUGACGCUGACGGUAAUGUUACUGUCUAUAAAGCUCGACUUGUUGCAAAAGGUUUUAGACAAGUUCAAGGGAUUGACUACGAUGAGACCUUUUCACCCGUAGCGAUGCUUAAGUCUGUCCGAAUCAUGUUAGCAAUUGCCGCAUUUCAUGAUUAUGAAAUUUGGCAAAUGGAUGUAAAAACUGCAUUCCUGAAUGGAUUUCUGGAAGAAGAGUUGUAUAUGAUGCAGCCGGAAGGUUUUGUCGAUCCAAAGGGAGCUAACAAAGUGUGCAAGCUCCAGCGAUCCAUUUAUGGACUGGUGCAACCCUCUCGGAGUUGGAAUAAACGCUUUGAUAGUGUGAUCAAAGCAUUUGGUUUUAUACAGACUUUUGGAGAAGCCUGUAUUUACAAGAAAGUGAGUGGGAGCCCUGUAGCAUUUCUGAUAUUAUAUGUGGAUGACAUAUUGCUGAUUGGAAAUGACAUAGAAUUUCUGGAUAGCAUAAAGGGACACUUGAAUAAAAGUUUUUCAAUGAAGGACCUCGGUGAAGCUGCUUAUAUAUUGGGCAUCAAGAUCUAUAGAGAUAGAUCAAGACGCUUAAUUGGACUUUCACAAAGCACAUACCUUGACAAAGUUUUGAAGAAGUUCAAAAUGGAUCAAGCAAAGAAAGGGUUCUUGCCUGUGUUACAAGGUGUGAAGUUGAGUAAGACUCAAUGCCCGACCACUGCAGAAGAUAGAGAGAAGAUGAAAGAUGUUCCCUAUGCUUCAGCCAUAGGCUCUAUCAUGUAUGCAAUGCUGUGUACCAGACCUGAUGUGUGCCUUGCUAUAAGUUUAGCAGGGAGGUAGCAAAGUAAUCCAGGAGUGGAUCACUGGACAGCGGUCAAGAACAUCCUGAAAUACCUGAAAAGGACUAAGGAUAUGUUUCUAGUUUAUGGAGGUGACAAAGAGCUAGUCGUAAAUGGUUACGUCGAUGCAAGCUUUGACACUGAUCCGGACGAUUCUAAAUCGCAAACCGGAUACGUGUUUACAUUGAACGGUGGAGCUGUCAGUUGGUGCAGCUCUAAACAAAGCGUUGUGGCGGGAUCUACGUGUGAAGCGGAGUACAUAGCUGCUUUGGAAGUAGCAAAUGAAGGAGUCUGGAUGAAGGAGUUCAUACCCGAUCUAGGUGUCAUACCUGGUGCAUCGGGUCCAAUGAAAAUCUUUUGUGACAAUACUGGUGCAAUUUCCUUGGCAAAGGAAUCCAGAUUUCACAAGAGAACCAAGCACAUCAAGAGACGCUUCAACUCCAUCCGGGAUCUAGUCCAGGUGGGAGACAUAGAAAUUUGCAAGAUACAUAUGGAUCUGAAUGUUGCAGACCCGUUGACUAAGCCUCUUCCACGAGCAAAACAUGAUCAACACCAAGGCUCCAUGGGUGUUUGAAUCAUUACUGUGUAAUCUAGAUUAUUGACUCUAGUGCAAGUGGGAGACUGAAGGAAAUAUGCCCUAGAGGCAAUAAUAAAGUUAUUAUUUAUUUCCUUAUAUCAUGAUAAAUGUUUAUUAUUCAUGCUAGAAUUGUAUUAACCGGAAACAUAAUACUUGUGUGAAUACAUAGACAAACAAAGUGUCACUAGUAUGCCUCUACUUGACUAGCUCGUUGAUCAAAGAUGGUUAUGUUUCCUAGCCAUUGACAUGAGUUGUCAUUUGAUUAACGGGAUCACAUCAUUAGGAGAAUGAUGUGAUUGACUUGACCCAUUCCGUUAGCUUAGCACACGAUCGUUUAGUAUUCUGCUAUUGCUUUCUUCAUGACUUAUAUAUGUUCCUAUGACUAUGAGAUUAUGCAACUCCCAUUUACCGGAGGAACACUUUGUGUGCUAUCAAACGUCACAACGUAACUGGGUGACUAUAAAGGUGCUCUACAGGUGUCUCCAGAGGUACUUGUUGGGUUGGCGUAUUUCGAGAUUAGGAUUUGUCACUCUGAUUGUCGGAGAGGUAUCUCUGGCCCACUCGGUAAUGCACAUCACUAUAAGCCUUGCAAGCAUUGCAACUAAUGAGUUAGUUGCGGAAUGAUGUAUUACAGAACGAGUAAAGAGACUUUCCGGUAACGAGAUUGAACUAGGUAUUGAGAUACCGACGAUCGAAUCUCGCGCAAGUAACAUACCGAUGACAAAGGGAACAACGUAUGUUGUUAUGCGGUUUGACCGAUAAAGAUUUUCGUAGAAUAUGUGGGAGCCAAUAUGAGCAUCCAGGUUCCGCUAUUGGUUAUUGACCGGAGACGUGUCUCGGUCAUGUCUACAUAGUUCUCGAACCCGUAGGGUCUGCACGCUUAAAGUUUGAUGACGGUUAUAUUAUGAGUUUAUGUGUUUUGAUGUACGGAAGAUAGUUCGGAGUCCCGGAUGUGAUCACAGACAUGACGAGGAGUCUCGAAAUGGUCGAGACAUGAAGAUUGAUAUAUUGGACGACUAUAUUCGGACACCGGAAUGGUUCCGGGGGUUAUCGGAUAUAUACCGGAGUACCGGGGGUUACCGGAACCCCCCGGGGGUUUAAUGGGCCUACAUGGGCCUUAGUGGAGAAGAGGAGGGGCGGCCAGGGCAGGCCGCGCGCCCCCUCCCCCUCUAGUCCGAAUUGGACAAGGAGGGGGGGGGGGGCGGCGCCCCCCUUUCCUUCCUCUCUCCCUCCUCCUUCCCCCUUCUCCUAAUCCAACAAGGAAGGGAGGGAGUCCUACUCCCGGUGGGAGUAGGACUCCUCCUGGCGCGCCUCCUCCUGGCCGGCCGCCUCUCCCCCCUUGCUCCUUUAUAUACGGGGGCAGGGGGCACCCCAUAGACACAACAAUUGAUCUCUUGAUCUCUUAGCCGUGUGCGGUGCCCCCCUCCACCAUAAUCCACCUCGAUAAUAUCGUAGCGGUGCUUAGGCGAAGCCCUGCGUCGGUAGAACAUCAUCAUCGUCACCACGCUGUCGUGCUGACGAAACUCUCCCUCAACACUCGGCUGGAUCGGAGUUCGAGGGACGUCAUCGAGUUGAACAUGUGCAGAACUCGGAGGUGCCGUGCGUUCGGUACUUCAUCGGUCGGAUCGUGAAGACGUACGACUACAUCAACCGCGUUGUGCUAACGCUUCCGCUUUCGGUCUACGAGGGUACGUGGACACACUCUCCCCUCUUGUUGCUAUGCAUCACCAUGAUCUUGCGUGUGCGUAGGAAUUUUUUUGAAAUUACUACGUUCCCUAACAGAUCUUGUGGUGGUUGCACUGGUCGUUCACGACCACAUUCAACGGCAGCUUCCUCGGUACAGGGGGUCAGUCCCUGGCCGUGCUCCCAACCUGAACCGCAACAGGGAGAGAGGUCACGCCCUGUUCUAUGCCGAUUACUUUGCGAACACUCCGCUUUUCCUGCCGGAUAAAUUCCGUCGCCGUUUUCGUAUGGCAAGGCAUGUGUUCAAUCGUAUCCGAGAGGGAGUGGUUGCUCAUGACCCAUACUUCGAGUGCAAGACGGAUGCCCUUGGCAAGGUUGGAUUCUCCUCUUACCAGAAAUGCACCGCGGCCAUCCGCAUGCUUGCAUAUGGUAUUCCAGGCGAUCUGGUGGAUGAGUAUGUGCGUAUGAGUGAGACAACAUGUCUAAUGUCAAUGUACAAGUUUUGCCAGGAUGUGAUCGAGGUGUUUGGCCCAGAGUACUUGAGGCAGCCAACUGCCGCUGAUACAGAGAGAUUGUUGGCGACCAACGCAGCUAGAGGCUUUCCAGGCAUGCUUGGCAGCAUAGAUUGUAUGCACUGGGAGUGGAAGAACUGUCCAUUUGCUUGGCAGGGACAGUACAAGGGGCAUGUCAACGGGUGCACUGUCAUAUUAGAAGUGGUGGCAUCGCAGGAUCUUUGGAUAUGACAUUCUUUCUUCGGCAUGGCAGGUUCUCACAAUGAUAUCAACGUGCUGCAGCGUUCUCCUGUCUUCGCGAGGCUUGCAGAAGGCCACUCCCCACCUGUCAACUUUGAGAUCAACGGCUACCAGUACAACAAAGGAUACUAUCUAGCUGAUAGUAUAUAUCCUCAGUGGUCAAUUUUUGUGAAGACAAUCUCGAAACCCCAAGGUGAGAAGAGAAAGAGAUUUGCCCAAAUGCAAGAGAGUGUUAGAAAGGAUGUGGAACGUGCUUUUUGUGUGCUUCAAUCCCGGUGGGGUAUCGUUCGAAACCCUGCACUGUCAUGGGAUGAAAGGAAGCUUUGGGAGGUGAUGACUGCUUGUGUGAUCAUGCACAACAUGAUCGUCGAGGACGAGCGUGAUGAAAGUAUCUUCGACCAAGGAUUUGAUUAUCAAGGUGAAAAUAUUGAGCCCCUGCACCAAGACCCGGCCAUAUUUGAACAGUUUGUCCAAUUCCACCGUGAGAUGCGUGAUUGGCACACUCAUUUGAAUCUUCAAAAUGACUUGGUUGAGCACGUGUGGAAUCACAUUGGCAACCAAUAGAUGUAUUGGUUCAUUUUAUGUUCAGUCAGGACAAUUUCGAUUUGGUUGUAAAACUAUUUUAUUAAAGACAAUUUCAAUUGGGUUGUAAAACUAUUUUAAUUUUCAGACAAAUAUUUGGAUUGUAAACUAGUUUUGAUAAAAAUAUGGGUAUUUUGGGCCCUGACGGACAGGAUGGGGCAAACGGAUGCGGCCGCGCGCUGGGUGCACGGCCCCCGCAUACCAGGACACGACCUCAUUGCCCUACUAGCUUAACCAUGAGAUGGCCGUGCUCGCACCCAACUACCCGAGCCCUGCACUGCACUGCCGUGUCACCCUCCCGCAUGAUGGCUUACCUGCGUUAAAUAACCAUUGUCUUCACAUCAGUUACUCGCCGUUUCGUCACGUCUCGGAGUUACGCGUCUCAUCACCUCAUGCGUGUACGUACUACACGUAGACGUAGGUACUCUCCACACGCAUGGCCGUGUUGGUCCUGAUAGUGCUUGUCACUGGCCACAAGAUCGAUCAGCUCACGGAUGGACGACGGGUGAGAAGACACUUGGAGUGCUGAUGCUGCUUGUCACUGGCUAGAAGAUCGACCGAUGGACCGAGUGAUCGAUCAUCACCUCGUUCUAUAUUUGCUCGUCUCUCUUUCUUGUUAAGUUCUUCGUAUGGCAAUGGCGCUUAUAAUUGCGAAACCUGAGUAGCUAUGCCACCUAGAUUCCGCCUAAUCUAGCUGCAUCGGCCGUCUCAUCGGUCCUUGGCGUCCUGCUCCGCCUCGGUGCACUGUGCCACCUUUCUCGAUCUUGGAUUAAUGAACUCGAUUAAUCAGACGGACAAGUACGCUUAGUUGGCACAUGCAUGUCUCCGCAGUUACUCUUGCUCCUCUUGCACGCACGUGUACAAUGGUGACAUAUGAAUACAGAUGUCCCAGUAAUUUAAGGCAUUUACGUUUAUUUUUUUCUCCCAAAUGCAAGCUAUCAUUAAUGGGCCUCAUUAAGAAAUACUUCAAUCUUUCCAGCUUUUAACACCGGACCACACUUUUUCUCUUCAAACACCCGACUCCUGAAGAGAAUCCUGCUUCCUUAUGCGAACCUACUUUAUCUGAUAUCCGAUUCUACAUGACAUGCGAGGCAUCACACUGCGUCUAUACAUUGUAAUACAUGUCUUUAAAUGCUUAAGCAUGAAGCGCUAGUCCACGAUUACCACAGUACUACUGGUACGGUCUUCCAGCUCACGCGCCUCUUGCAAAAUUGAUAGAGAUACUCUUUUUCAGUCUCUAGGUGGAAUUAAUUUGGAUGGUUACCCGGGACCUGCCCCUGUCUCGAUGCAUCCUGAGGCCUGAGCGAUCAUGACACUGCAUAGCGCUCAGCUAGACGAUGGGCACAUUACGCCGUUGACACCGCUAGAUGAUGGGUUGGUCGACGACAACGGGGGCCGUCCGCCGAGAAGGGAGCCGUCAAAUCAGCAGGCCUGACAGGUCGAGCUCCCAACAAACUAAGCUAGCCAAGUACUCGUAAGUACCAGUACACGUUCUUCUCUUGUACGUCUUGAGAAAAAAAGUUUGGACGAGCUACUGAAUGCACGAGCCUUAGCAUGUUAAGCCAGGCCAGCGUGCACGACAAGGCAAGGCAAAAGGUGGCUACAUCUCUUUUUUUUACAGCUUCGGCACGCCGGCCCCUGUCGGCUUGAUUUUUUUUCAUGAAGUACCUUCGAAAAACAGGGGGGAAAGUGAAAAAAUAUAUUGAAAAUUUAAAAAACGGUGAAGUAUUAUGUGGGAUAAAUGUAAAGCGCCUACAUCGUAAAAACCUUCCAUCUCAAAGAAGUAAAAGAAAAUACAAGACAUGCUCUAGAAUUAUAAAAGAAUUACAAAAACUACAAUGACUACACUAUAACAGUUCAACUACUCAGAUCUAGCACUAAUAAAAUACGUAUGCAAUAUUGAACAUAUUAGAGUAUUAGGCAUUUAUAUAGGACAUAUAUAUUUAUAUAUUUCAAGAAAAAAUAAACGGGUCAUGUUGUUCCGGCCCACGUGCCACUAGUGCAGAACCGGGCUAUAGCACCGGUUCGUAAGGCCCUUUGGUGCCGGUUCUGUAACCGGCACUAAAGGGUGGGGACUAAAGGUCCCCCCCUUUAGUACCGGUUCAACACGAACCGCCACUAAAGGGCCACCACGUGGCACGUUCCAGCGCCGGGGGCGGGGAGACCUUUAGUACCGGUUUGUAACACCAAUCAGUACUAAAAGGUUUGGGGGGUUUUGUUUUAUUAUUUAUUUUUCCUCUAAUUUUGUGUUUUCCAAUUAAUUUAGAGAUUGUUUUUACAUUAUAAUAAGUUAUUAAAUCACUAGGUGAAGGAACCGCGGAUUAGUUUCAACUGGAUGGAUCCUAAACUAAUCCGCGGUUCUUUCAUAAAUGAUAUAAUAACUCAUCAUCAUCAUCAUCGUCAUCAUCAUAUUAAUAUAAAAACUCUUGCAUAAUAUCAUCACCAACAACACUAGCUAAUAAUCAUCAUAGUCAUUACCACUAUUUAAUCAUCAUAUAGUCAUUACCGCUACACCACCAACACUAGCUUAAAAAAGAAACAUUCAAUUGUAUCAGAAGCAAAGAUAUCAUGGAGUUCAACAUGGUCAUGAGAUUAUAAGCGUUCAUAAGACCACAGAAGCAAAUCACACUUUGAGAUAGAUUAAGUUCAGGACGAAGAACACGGGCAUGAGAGGAUAAAGUACUAAGAGCAGGAACUAGCUAAUCACUCCUGUUGCUCUCUCUCAGGUAAAAUAGCAUAGAACAUGUGUAGCUCUCAUGAUUCAUCAUAUUGGAGCAUGCAGAUGAACCUGUCUCCCAAUCGUGGGCUGCGCUUCUGAUUGCUGCCCCCUAGUACUUCUCUGCGAUCGUUCACAAUUUUGCUCCAGUCUUUCACUAUUAAGCAUUCCUCGGUUUUAGAAAUCCUGAAUGCACUCAUGUGAGAUGUAGGAUGUCUUGGCCGUAAGCUAACCAUUGACAUGCGACCUUUAGUCCCGAUCCACUGAGGCACAACUAUCAUCGGGAGUCCCUGUUGAAGAACAUCGUAUAGUAACAUACUUAGCAAUGAAGUUUAGCUUGAAAAAUAAUGUAUGCAAAAGAUGCACUGAUGACAUAUAGUAAAAAUCUUACCAUCUUUCCUAAAUAGAUGUGACCGUAGUUCAAUACGAUCACUAUUGGUCGUACGUUUUGAGUACUAAGAUUUUCAAAUUCAGGAAAAUAAUUUCUCUUGACAGCAUCAAGAUCCUCAAGCCAUGAAACAUAAUGACUUAUCUCCUCGCAGUUUAGUUCAGCCCCGGGACAGUGGACAGUCCUGUCUACCAAGCGCUGGACAUGUUUGCUUGAAUGGAAAUAAGCUGUCAUCAAUAGAAAUUAGUUGUCAACUAUUUUUGAAUAAAUAAUAUCGAAGACAUAAAUAUAUGGUUGAGAAACUCACAUAAUGGUAGAACUGGAGGCGUCUGCACAUUGACCCAGAUGUCCUAUUACCUUCAGUAUCAUCUUCCGGACGAAUAUCAAAUGUGAUAACCAUGUCAGGCUCAGAUGCAUAAGCCUUACAUAGGGCUUGCCAAGUUUUGCAUUCAAAAUAGGUGUAGGUGUCUGCAUUGUAUAAUUUGACGUCGAAAGUAGAACCAUGCUCGGUCUUCAGGUAAAGUCUCUUUACCUCCAUAGUUUUGUUAGGAUUGAAACCUAUCUUAUCCAAGACAAAAAUUCUUGCAUGGCAGGGAAUACGCUAGUAGAAUAGUAAAAAUUAAAAUUAUAAGUUGAAGCAAAUGAAGCAUACGUCAUGCUUAAUUAUGAAAAAGACUUGUCGUUGUGACUUACUGUAUCCACUUCGAAGGUCUCAUCCAGCUUGAUGUUGAAACGUCUAUCAUCAACUAGUAAAUUUCUGUCGCACAGGCCGCACUCGUCUUCGCAGUAUUCACACAUAACGAAAUCAUUUUCGUCGUGAGACAUUUCCUAUGUUCAUAGUUGAAACAUUAAUUGAUAAACACUUACUAGUUUUAUUAAUUCAACUAAUUCAACUAGUUCUAUUAAUUCAACUAAUUCAACUAAGCACUUACUACAAAUAAACUAGUUCUAUUAAUUUUCUUACUAAAAAUAAAGUAGCUAGUUCUAUAUAAUAAAAUUUUAAUUAGAUGAUCAAAUCUCAUAUACCUAAAUNNNNNNNNNNNNNNNNNNNNNNNNNNNNNNNNNNNNNNNNNNNNNNNNNNNNNNNNNNNNNNNNNNNNNNNNNNNNNNNNNNNNNNNNNNNNNNNNNNNNNNNNNNNNNNNNNNNNNNNNNNNNNNNNNNNNNNNNNNNNNNNNNNNNNNNNNNNNNNNNNNNNNNNNNNNNNNNNNNNNNNNNNNNNNNNNNNNNNNNNNNNNNNNNNNNNNNNNNNNNNNNNNNNNNNNNNNNNNNNNNNNNNNNNNNNNNNNNNNNNNNNNNNNNNNNNNNNNNNNNNNNNNNNNNNNNNNNNNNNNNNNNNNNNNNNNNNNNNNNNNNNNNNNNNNNNNNNNNNNNNNNNNNNNNNNNNNNNNNNNNNNNNNNNNNNNNNNNNNNNNNNNNNNNNNNNNNNNNNNNNNNNNNNNNNNNNNNNNNNNNNNNNNNNNNNNNNNNNNNNNNNNNNNNNNNNNNNNNNNNNNNNNNNNNNNNNNNNNNNNNNNNNNNNNNNNNNNNNNNNNNNNNNNNNNNNNNNNNNNNNNNNNNNNNNNNNNNNNNNNNNNNNNNNNNNNNNNNNNNNNNNNNNNNNNNNNNNNNNNNNNNNNNNNNNNNNNNNNNNNNNNNNNNNNNNNNNNNNNNNNNNNNNNNNNNNNNNNNNNNNNNNNNNNNNNNNNNNNNNNNNNNNNNNNNNNNNNNNNNNNNNNNNNNNNNNNNNNNNNNNNNNNNNNNNNNNNNNNNNNNNNNNNNNNNNNNNNNNNNNNNNNNNNNNNNNNNNNNNNNNNNNNNNNNNNNNNNNNNNNNNNGGGGGCGGCGACGGGGACGGGUCAGGGGAGCGGCGCGCGCGCGACGAUGACGUAUGGGGACGGGCGCGCGACGACGACGUACGGGGACGGCGAAGGGGACGGGCUCGCGUGACGGGGACGGGCGCGGCGGUGACGGGGACGCAGGCGCGACGACGAAGAAGCAGAUGAAGAAGAAACUAACCGAAUUUUUCGUGAGUGCUAUAUUUAUAGGAGGGGCUUUUAGUACCGGUUGGAGCCACCAACCAGUAAUAAAGGCCUAUUUUGGCCAGGCCAAGCGGCGGGAAGAGCACCCCUUUAGCACCGGGUCGUGGCAGAAACCGGUACUAAAGACCCCCCCUUUAGUACUAAAGGUGUGCGCUGGCGCAGGUGCGGUUCGGGCAAGUUUAGUCCCACCUCGCUAGCCAGGGGCGCCCGCACCUGCUUAUAAGCCCCGCCGCGGCAGCUAUCUCGAGCUCCUCUCUAUUGCAGGCCUUCUGGGCUUACCUCUGCUUGCAUACCCUGUUGGGCCUACUGGGCUAGCGGGUGAUAACCCACAAGUAUAGGGGAUCGCAACGGUUUUCGAGGGUAGAGUAUUCAACCCAAAUUUAUUGAUUCGACACAAGGGGAGCCAAAGAAUAUUCUCAAGUAUUAGCAGUUAAGUUGUCAAUUCAACCACACGUGGAUAACUUAGUAUCUGCAGCAAAGUAUUUAGUACCAAGUAAUAUGGAAGUAACGGUAACGGUAGCAAAAGUAAUAUUUUUGGGUUUUGUAGUGAUUGUAACAGUAGCAAUGGUAAAGUAAAUAAUCUAAGAACAGUAUGUGAAAAGCUCGUAGGCAUUGGAUCGGUGAUGGAGAAUUAUGCCGGAUGCGGUUCAUCAUGUAACAGUCAUAACAUAGGGUGACACAGAACUAGCUCCAAUUCAUCAAUUUAAUGUAGGCAUGUAUUCCGAAUAUAGUCAUACGUGCUUAUGGAAAAGAGCUUGCAUGUCAUCUUUUGUCCUACCAUCCCGUGGCAGCGGAGUCCUAUUGGAACCUAAGGGAUAUUAAGGCCUUAUUUUAAUAGAGUACCGGACCAAAGCAUUAACACAUAAUGAAUACAUGAACUCCUCAAACUACGGUCAUCACCGGGAGUGGUCCCGAUUAUUGUCACAUCGGGGUUGCCGGAUCAUAACACAUAGUAGGUGACUAUAGACUUGCAAAAUAGGAUCAAGAACUCACAUAUAUUCAUGAAAACAUAAUAGGUUCAGAUCUGAAAUCAUGGCACUCGGGCCCUAGUGACAAGCAUUAAGCAUAGCAAAGUCAUAGCAACAUCAAUCUCAGAACAUAGUGGAUACUAGGGAUCAAACCCUAACAAAACUAACUCGAUUACAUGAUAAAUCUCAUCCAACCCAUCACCGUCCAGCAAGCCUAUGAUGGAAUUACUCACGCACGGCGGUGAGCAUCAUGAAAUUGGUGAUGGAGGAUGGUUGAUGAUGACGACGGCGACGGAUUCCCCUCUCCAGAGCCCCGAACGGACUCCAAAUCAGCCCUCCCGAGAGAGUUUAGGGCUUGGCGGCGGCUCCGUAUCGUAAAACGCGAUGAAUCUUUCUCUCUGAUUUUUUUCUCCCCGAACACGAAUAUAUGGAGUUGGAGUUGAGGUCGGUGGAGCUCCAGGGGGCCCACGAGGCAGGGGGCGCGCCCCCACCCUCGUGGAAAGGGUGUGGCCCCCUGGCCUUGAUUCUUUCGCCAGUAUUUUUUAUUAUUUCCAAAAAUAAUCUCCGUGAAGUUUCAGGUCAUUCCGAGAACUUCUGUUUCUACACAUAAAUAACACCAUGGCAAUUCUGCUGAAAACAGCGUCAGUCCGGGUUAGUUCCAUUCAAAUCAUGCAAGUUAGAGUCCAAAACAAGGGCAUUAGUGUUUGGAAAAGUAGAUACGAUGGAGACGUAUCAACUCCCCCAAGCUUAAACCUUUGCUUGUCCUCAAGCAAUUCAGUUGAUAAACUGAAAGUGAUAAAGAAAAACUUUUACAAACUCUGUUUGCUCUUGUUGUUGUAAAUAUGUAAAGCCAGCAUUCAAGUUUUCAGCAAAGAUUAUGACUAACCAUAUUUACAAUAACACUUAGGUCUCAUGUUUACUCAUGUCAAUGGCAUAAUCAACUAGCGAGCAAUAAUAAUAAAUCUCGGAUGACAACACUUUCUCAAAACAAUCAUGAUAUGAUAUAACAAGAUGGUAUCUCGCUAGCCCUUUCUGAAACCGCAAAACAUAAAUGCAGAGCACCUUUAAAGAUCAAGGACUGACUAAACAUUGUAAUUCAUGGUAAAAGAGAUCUAGUCAUAGUCAUACCCAGUAUAAAUUAAUAGUAACGGAUGCAAAUGACAGCGGUGCUCUCCAGCUGGUGCUUUUUAAUAAGAGGGCGAUGAGUCAACAUAAAAGUAAAUAGAUAGGCCCUUCGCAGAGGGAAGCAGGGAUUUGUAGAGGUGCCAGAGCUCGAUUUUUGAAAUAGAGAUAAAUAAUAUUUUGAGCGGCAUACUUUCAUUGUCACAUAACAACCAAGAGAUGGCGAUAUCUUCCAUGCUUCACACAUUAUAGGCGGUUCCCAAACAGAAUGGUAAAGUUUAUACUCCCCCUCCACCAACAAGCAUCAAUCCAUGGCUUGCUCGAAACAACGAGUGCCUCCAACUAACAACAGUCCCGGGGGAGUUUUGUUUGCAAUUAUUUUGAUUUGAUUUGCAUAAAGCAUGGGACUGGGCAUCCCGGUGACCAGCCAUUUUCUCGUGAGUGAGGAGCGGAGUCCACUCCUCUUGAGAAUAACCCGCCUAACAUGGAAGAUACAGACAACCCUAGUUGAUACAUGAGCUAUUCGAGCAUACAAAACAGGAUUUCAUUUGAAGGUUUAGAGUUUGGCACAUACAAAUUUACUUGGAACGGCAGGUAGAUACCGUAUAUAGGAAGGUAUGGUGGACUCAUAUGGAAUAACUUUGGGGUUUAAGGGAUUGGAUGCACAAGCAGUAUUCCCGCUUAGUACAAGUGAAGGCUAGCAAAAGACUGGGAAGCGACCAACUAGAGAGCGACAACAGUCACGAACAUGCAUUAAAAUUAAUAAACAUUGAGUGCAAGCAUGAGUAGGAUAUAAUCCACGAUGAACAUAAAUAUUGUGAAGGCUAUGUUGAUUUGUUUCAACUACAUGUGUGAACAUGUGCCAAGUCAAGUCACUUGAAUCAUUCAAAGGAGGAUACCACCCCAUCAUACCACAUCACAACCAUCUUAAUAGCAUGUUGGCACGCAAGGUAAACCAUUAUAAGCUCCUAGCUAAUUAAGCAUGGCAUAAGCAACUAUAAUCUCUAAUUGUCAUUGGAAACAUGUUUAUUCAUAACAGGCUGAAUCAGGAACGAUGAACUAAUCAUAUUUACAAAAACAAGAGAGGCCAAGUUCAUACCAGCUUCUCUCAUCUCAAUCAGUCCAUCAUAGAUCGUCAUAAUUGCCUUUCACUUACACGACCGAAUGAUGUGAAUAAUAAUAAUAGUGCACGUGCAUUGGACUAAGCUGGAAUCUGCGAGCAUUCAAUAAAUAGGAGAAGACAAGGCAAUAUGGGCUCUUGGUUAAAUCAACAAUAAUGUAUAUAAGAGCCACUUUAACAAUUUCAUUAUGGUCUUCUCCUAUCGACCCCCAAAGGAAAGGAAAGAAAUAAAACUAUUUAUACGGGAAAGCUCCCAACAAGCAAAAGAAGAACGGGAAAUCUUUUUGGGUUUUCUUUUAAUUAUUACUACUACAGUAAGAAAAGUAAACUAGCUAAAAGCUACAACUAAUUUUUUUGUUUUCUUAAAGUUUUUCAAACACACAAGAAGAAAGCAUAAAAAGGAAAAUAAACUAGCAUGGAUAUUACAGUGAAAAGGUAUGAGCACCAACAACUAGCAAUGAGUGUGUGAACAUGAAUGUAAUGUCGGUCAGAAAUACGUACUCCCCCAAGCUUAGGCUUUUGGCCUAAGUUGGUCUAUUGCCACGGGUGGCCUGGCGGAUAUCCAAAGUUAUAGUUGGAGUCGUACUGAGAUGCAGCGGCUAUUGCAUCGUGGGCUGCAGCUUGGAGGCGGGCUAUCUCAGCCCUCCUCUUAUACUCAUCCGCCUCCUCUCUGGUUAUGUAAUAUCUCCCCUUUGCCUGAAAGUCAAAGAAGGUAGAAGCAGGGAGAACGACGUGAUAGGUGCGUCGUCUGUCAAAGAUUAGUCGGUACUGAUCGUUCCUCUCAACAAACUGAUGACGAACCAUAGCCUCAUAAUCUAAAUAAACAGGAGGCAACUUAAUAUCAUCCUCACGUAUGCUCACACCAAGAAAAAUAGCUAAACGGGUUGCAUAAAUUCCACCAAAGAAAUCUCCAUUAAAUCUAUUAUUAUGCAACCUACGUGCAACAAUGGCUCCCAAAUUAUAAUGUUUAUCUCCUAACACAGCACUCCUGAGAACACUGAGGUCAGGGACACACAUGUGACAUACUUCAUCCUUACCAUUUAUGCACCUACCUAUGAAGAGAGCAAAAUAAUGUAUAGCCGGAAAAUGAAUGCUCCCUAUGGUAGCUUGUGCUAUGCCUCUAGAUUCCCCUACAAUUAUACUAGCAAGAAAAUCUCUAAAUUCAGAUUUGCGAGGUUCACAAGUACUACCCCAUUGUGGAAGUUUGCAAGCAGUGGUAAAAUCCUCUAAGUCCAUAGUAUAAGAAUUUUCAUAAAGAUCAAACAUGACAGUUUGAGAAUUGCGUGAAGAUGAAAAUUCAAACCUCCUCACAAAGGAACUAGUGCGAUAGUGAUACUGACGGCACUUAUCUACCUCGAAGCUCACAAGAUCAGCGUUACACAUAUAUGCGUUAAAUUCUUCCUUGAUUCCUGCUUGAUCCAUGAAGUCCUCGGAAGGCCAUUCACAAGCCCGUACUGGAGCGUCCCUUGGUGGUUCAUCAUCAGCAUCGUGCAUUGCAAGCCUGGGUCCUUGCUUCCUUGAAGAACCACCUUGGUACAUUUUCCUAAACAUAUUUCUUCCUCUGAAAAAUUUCUGAAAUUUUUAGUAACUUCAAAUAAAAGUGAACCAAGCUCAAAAAAUUGAUAGCAACUACUCCGACAAGUGCCUAGAGACUAUAUCAUGCAUUAGAACUACUUGGAACCAUAGAAAUUUGACAUGCAAGCUCAAGAACAUGGUCACCUAGGCAACAGAAAUUUGCAAUGAAUAAAGCACUAGAACAAAAACUAGUUGGACCAAUGGAGGAGUCACAUACCAAGGAACAACCCCCCAAAGAAGUUUUGUGAGAGGUGCUUUGAGCAAGGAGAUCGAAAAUCGCAGCAAAAUGAGCUAGAACUUGUGCUUGAGCUGGCUGGUGAUUUUUUUGGGAGGAAGAAGAAGUGUGUGGGUGCAGGAAUAAGUGAAGGGGAGCCACCAUGGGCACACGAGGCAGGGGGGCGCACCCUGGACCCUCGUGCCCAGGUGCUUGCUCCCCCUGCUGUGUUCUCAGUGCCAGAUAUUCUCAAAUAUUCCAGAAAAAAUCAUAUUUCAAUUUCAGGGCAUUUGGAGAACUUUUAUUUUCGGGGUAUUUUUAUAUUGCACGGAUAAUUCAGAAAACAGAUAGAAAAUACUAUUUUUUGCUUUAUUUAAUCUAAUUAACAGAAAGUAAAAGGAGGGCACAGAAGGUUGUGCCUUCUAACUUCAUCCAUCUCAUGCUCAUCAAAAGGAAUCCACUAACAAGGUUGAUCAGGUCUUGUUAACAAACUCAUUUCGAAUAACACGAAACCAGAGAAAUUUUGAAUAACACUAUGUUACCUCAACAGGGAUAUGCACAUCCCCAAUUAUAAGAAUAUCAUAUUUCUUCUUGACAGUUGGUAAAGGAAAUUCAAAACCUCCAAUAAUAAUCGAUGGAAUUUUUCCAAUAGAAUUGAUACUGUGGACUUGAGGUUGUUUCCUUGGAAAGUGUACCGUAUGCUCAUUACCAUUAACAUGAAAAGUGACAUUGCCUUUAUUGCAAUCAAUAACAACCCCUGCAGUAUUCAAAAAGGGUCUUCCAAGAAUAAUAGACAUACUAUCAUCCUCGGGAAUAUCAAGAAUAACAAAGUCUGUUAAAAUAGUGACGUUUGCAACCACAACAGGCACGUCCUCACAAAUACUGACAAGUAUAGCAGUUGAUUUAUCAACCAUUUGCAAAGAUAUUUCAGUAGGUGUCAACUUAUUCAAAUCAAGUCUACGAUAUAAAGAGAGAGGCAUAACACUAACACCGGCUCCAAGAUCACAUAAAGCAGUUCUAACAUAGUUUCUUUUAAUGGAGCAUGGUAUAGUGGGUACUCCUGGAUCUCCAAGUUUCUUAGGUAUUCCACCCUUAAAAGUAUAAUUAGCAAGCAUGGUGGAAAUUUCAGCUUCCGGUAUCUUUCUAUUAUUAGUAACAAUAUCCUUCAUAUACUUGGCAUAGGGAUUCAUUUUAAGCAUAUCAGUCAAACACAUACGCAAAAAGAUAGGUCUAAUCAUUUCAGCAAAGAGCUCAAAAUCCUCAUCAUCCUUUUUCUUGGAUGGUUUAGGAGGAAAAGGCAUGGGUUUCUGAACCCAUGGUUCUCUUUCUUUACCGUGCUUCCUAGCAACAAAGUCUCUCUUAUCAUAACGUUGAUUCUUUGAUUGUGGGUUAUCAAGAUCAACAGCAGGUUCAAUUUCUACAUCAUUGUCAUUACUAGGUUGAGCAUCAAUAUGAACAUCAUCAUUAACAUUAUCACUAGGUUCAUGUUCAUCACCAGAUUGUGUUUCAGCAUCAGAAAUAGAAAUAGCAUUGGGAUUUUCAGGUGUGUCAAUAGCAGGUUCACUAGAAGAAUGCAAAGUCCUAUCAUUUUUAUUUUUCUUAUUUUUAGAAGGAAUAGGUGCAUCAACAUUUGUUCUCUGAGAAUCCUGCUCAAUUCUCUUAGGGCGACCUUCAGGAUACAAAGGUUCCUGAGUCACUUUACCCCCUCUAGUUGCAAUUCUAACACCAAAGUCAUUAUUCUUACUAUUCAAUUCAUUGAGCAAGUCAUUCUGAGCUUUAAGUACUUGUUCUACUUGGGUGGUAACCAUAGAAGCAUGUUUACUAAUGAGUUUAAGUUCACCUUUAACUCUAGACAUAUAAUCACUCAAGUGUUCAAUCAUAUAAGCAUUGCGUUUUAAUUCUCUGCCAAAAUAAGCAUUGAAGUUUUCUUGCUUAACCAUAAAGUUAUCAAACUCAUCUAAGCAUUGGCUAGCAAAUUUAGUAGGCGGGAUUUCAGCUUUAUCAUAUCUAUAGAGAGAAUUUACCUUUACUACCUAUGUCGGGUUAUCAAGACCAUGUGUUUCUUCAACAGGCGGCAAGUUAAGACCAUGUAUUUCUUCAAUAGGUGGUAAAUUCUUAACAUCUUCAGCUUUAAUACCUUUUUCUUUCAUAGAUUUCUUUGCCUCUUGCAUAUCUUCAGGACUGAGAAAUAGAAUACCCCUUUUCUUCGGAGUUGGCUCAGGAGUUGGUUCAGGAAGUGUCCAAUUAUUUUCAUUAGUCAACAUAUUAUUCAAUAGAAUUUCAGCUUGAUCAACAGUUCUUUCCCUGAAAACACAACCAGCACAACUAUCCAGGUGGUCUCUGGAAGCAUCGGUUAGUCCAUUAUAAAAGAUAUCAAGUAUUUCAUUUUUCUUGAGAGGAUGAUUAGGCAAAGCAUUAAGUAAUUGGAGAAGCCUCCCCCAAGCUUGUGGGAGACUCUCUUCUUCAAUUUGCACAAAAUUAUAUAUUUCCCUUAAAGCAGCUUGUUUCUUAUGAGCGGGGAAGUAUUUAGCAGAGAAGUAAUAAACCAUAUCCUGGGGACUACGCACACAACCAGGAUCAAGAGAAUUAAACCAUAUCUUAGCAUCACCCUUUAAUGAGAACGGAAAUAUCUUAAGGAUAUAAUAGUAGCGAGUUUUCUCAUCAUUAGUGAACAGGGUGGCUAUAUCAUUUAAUUUAGUAAGAUGUGCCACAACAGUUUCAGAUUCAUAGCCAUAGAAGGGAUCAGAUUCAACCAAAGUAAUUAUCUCAGUAUCAAUAGAGAAUUCAUAAUCCUUAUCAGUAACAAAGAUAGGUGAAGUAGCAUAAGCAGGAUCAUAUUUCAUUCUAGCAUUAAGAGUUUAUUCUUUAAGCUUAGCUAAUAAUUUCUUAAGAUCACUUCUAUCAUUGCAAGCAAGAAAGUCUCUAGCAGUUUCUUUAUCCAUAACAUAGCCCUCAGGCACAACAGGCAAUUCAUAUUUAGGGGGAGAAUCUUCAUCAUCACUUUCAUCAAUAUUAUCAGUUUCAAUAGUUUCAUUCUCUCUAGCCCUAGCAAGUUGUUCAUCUAGAAAUUCACCAAGUGGCACAGUAGUAUCAAGCAUAGAAGUAGUUUCAUCAUAAGUAUCAUGCAUAGCAGAAGUGGCAUCAUCAAUAACAUGCGACAUAUUAGAAUUAAUAGCAGAAGCAGGUUUAGGUGUCACAAGCUUACUCAAAACGGAAGGUGAAUCAAGUGCAGAGCUAGAUGGCAGUUCCUUACCUCCCCUCGUAGUUGAGGGAUAAAUUUUGGUUUUCUCGUCUUCCAAGUUCCUCAUAGUGACCAGCAGAUAUAAAUCCCAAGUAACUCAAAGAAUGGAGCUAUGCUCCCCCGCAACAGCGCCAGAAAAUAGUCUUGAUAACCCACAAGUAUAGGGGAUCGCAACAGUUUUCGAUGGUAGAGUAUUCAACCCAAAUUUAUUGAUUCGACACAAGGGGAGCCAAAGAAUAUUCUCAAGUAUUAGCAGUUGAGUUGUCAAUUCAACCACACCUGGAUAACUUAGUAUCUUCAGCAAAGUAUUUAGUAGCAAAGUAAUAUGGAAGUAACGGUAACGGUAGCAAAAGUAAUAUUUUUGGGUUUUGUAGUGAUUGUAACAGUAGCAACGGUAAAGUAAAUAAGAUGGAAAAAGUAUGUGAAAAGCUCAUAGGCAUUGGAUCGGUGAUGGAGAAUUAUGCCGGAUGCGGUUCAUCAUGAAACAGUCAUAACAUAGGGUGACACAGAACUAGCUCCAAUUCAUCAAUGUAAUGUAGACAUGUAUUCCGAAUAUAGUCAUACGUGCUUAUGGAAAAGAACUUGCAUGACAUCUUUUGUCCUACCUGUUGGGGAACGUAGUAAUUUCAAAAAAAUUCCUACGCACACAUAGGAUCAUGGUGAUGCAUAGCAACGAGAGGGGAGAGUGUGUCCACGUACCCUUGUAGACCGAAAGCAGAAGCGUUAGAACAACGCGGUUGAUGUAGUCGUACGUCUUCACGAUCCGACCGAUCCAAGUACCGAACGUACGGCACCUCCGAGUUCAGCACACGUUCAGCUCGAUGACGUCCCGCGAACUCCGAUCCAGCAGAGCUUCACGGGAGAGUUCCGUCAGCACGACGGCGUGAUGACGGUGAUGAUGUUGCUACCGACGCAGGGCUUCGCCCAAGAACCGCUACGAUAUGACCGAGGUGGAAUAUGGUGGAGGGGGGCACCGCACACGGCCGGGAGAGAUCAAGAGAUCAACUUGUGUGUUCUAGGGUGCCCCAUGCCCCCGUAUAUAAAGGAGCAAGGGGGAGGCCGGCCGGCCCCUGUAGGGCGCGCCAGGAGGAGGACUCCUCCUCCUACUAGGAGUAGGACUCCCCUUUCCUACUCCUACUAGGAGGAGGAAAGGAAGGAGGAGAAGGAGAAGGAAGGAGAGGGAGGAAAAGGAGGAAAGGGGGGCCGGCCCCCUAGUCCAAUUCGGUUUGGGCUAGGGGGGCCGCGCGCCCUCCCUCCUCUCUUCCACCACUUGGCCCGUGAGGCCCAUUACUUCUUCCUCGUAUUCCCGUAACUCCCCGGUACCCCCGAAAAUACCCGAAUCACUCGGAACCUUUCCGAUGUCCGAAUAUAGUCGUCCAAUAUAUCGAUCUUUACGUCUCGACCAUUUCGAGACUCCUCGUCGUGUCCCUGAUCUCAUCCGGGACUCCGAACUACCUUCGGUACAUCAAAUCACAUAAACUCAUAAUACCGAUCGUCACAGAACUUUAAGCGUGCGGACCCUACGGGUUCGAGAACUAUGUAGACAUGACUGAGACACGUCUCCGGUCAAUAACCAAUAGCAGAACAUGGAUGCUCAUAUUGGCUCCCACAUAUUCUACGAAGAUCUUUAUCGGUCAAACCGCAUAACAACAUACGUUGUUCCCUUUGUCAUCGCUAUGUUACUUGCCCGAGAUUCUAUCGUCGGUAUCUCAAUACCUAGUUCAAUCUCGUUACCGGCAAGUCUCUUUACUCGUUCCGUAAUACAUCAUCCCGCAACUAACUCAUUAGUUACAAUGCUUGCAAGGCUUAUAGUGAUGUGUAUUACCGAGUGGGCCCAGAGAUACCUCUCCGACAAUCGGAGUGACAAAUCCUAAUCUCGAAAUACGCCAACUCAACAAGUACCUUCAGAGACACCUGUAGAGCACCUUUAUAAUCACCCAGUUACGUUGUGACGUUUGGUAGCACACAAAGUGUUCCUCCGUUUAACGGGAGUUGCAUAAUCUCAUAGUCAUAGGAACAUGUAUAAGUCAUGAAGAAAGCUAUAACAACAUACUAAACGAUCAAGUGCUAAGCUAACGGAAUGGGUCAAGUCAAUCACAUCAUUCUCCUAAUGAUGUGAUCCCGUUAAUCAAAUGACAACUCAUGUCUAUGGCUAGGAAACAUAACCAUCUUUGAUCAACAAGCUAGUUAAGUAGAGGCAUACUAGUGACACUCUGUUUGUCUAUGUAUUCACACAUGUAUCAUGUUUCCGGUUAAUACAAUUCUAGCAUGAAUAAUAAACAUUUAUCAUGGUAUAAGGAAAUAAAUAAUAACUUUAUUAUUGCCUCUAGGGCAUAUUUCCUUCAGUCUCCCACUUGCACUAGAGUCAAUAAUCUAGAGCACAUCGCCAUGUGAUUUAACAUCAAUAGUUCACAUCACCAUGUGAUUAACACCCAUAGUUCACAUCGUCAUGUGAUGAACACCCAAAGGGUUACUAGAGUCAAUAAUCUAGUUCACAUCGCUAUGUGAUUAACACCCAAAGAGUACUAAGGUGUGAUCAUAUUUUGCUUGUGAGAGAAGUUUAGUCAACGGGUCUGCCAUAUUCAGAUCUGUAUGUAUUUUGCAAAUUUCUAUGUCUACAAUGCUCUGCACGGAGCUACUUUAGCUAAUUGCUCCCACUUUCAAUAUGUAUCCAGAUUAAGAUUUAGAGUCAUCUGGAUCAGUGCCAAAACUUGUAUCGACGUAACCCUUUACGACGAACCUUUUGUCACCUCCAUAAUCGAGAAACAUAUCCUUAUUCCACUAAGGAUAAUUUUGACCGCUGUUCAGUGAUCUACUCCUAGAUCACUAUUGUACUCCCUUACCAAAAUUAGUGUAGGGUAUACAAUAGAUCUGGUACACAGCAUGGCAUACUUUAUAGAACCUAUGGCCGAGGCAUAGGGAAUGACUUUCAUUUUCUUUCUAUCUUCUACCGUGGUCGGGCUUUGAGUCUUACUCAAUUUCACACCUUGUAACAAAGGCAAGAACUCUUUCUUUGACUGUUCCAUUUUGAACUACUUCAAAAUCUUGUCAAGGUAUGUACUCAUUGAAAAAACUUAUCAAGCGUCUUGAUCUAUCUCUAUAGAUCUUGAUGCUCAAUAUGUAAGCAGCUUUACUGAGGUCUUUCUUUGAAAAACUCCUUUCAAACACUCCUUUAUGCUUUGCAGAAUAAUUCUACAUUAUUUCCGAUCAACAAUAUGUCAUUCACAUAUACUUAUCAGAAAUGUUGAAGUGCUCCCACUCACUUUCUUGUAAAUACAGGCUUUACCGCAAGUCUGUAUAAAACUAUAUGCUUUGAUCAAUUUAUCAAAGCGUAUAUUCCAACUCCGAGAUGAUUGCACUAGUCCAUAGAUGGAUUGCUGGAGCUUGCAUACUUUGUUAGCACCUUUAGGAUUGACAAAACCUUCUUGUUGCAUCAUAUACAACUCUUCUUUAAUAAAUCCAUUAAGGAAUGCAGUUUUGUUUAUCCAUUCGCCAGAUUUCAUAAAAUGCGGCAAUUGCUAACAUGAUUCGGACAGACUUAAGCAUAGAUACGAGUGAGAAACUCUCAUCGUAGUCAACACCUUGAACUUGUCGAAAACCUUUUUGCGACAAUUCUAGCUUUGUAGAUAGUAACACUACUAUCAAGGUCCGUCUUCCUCUUGAAGAUCCAUUUAUUUUCUAUGGCUUGCCGAUCAUCGGGCAAGUUAACCAAAGUCCACACUUUGUUCUCAUACAUGGAUCCCUUCUCAGAUUUCAUGGCCUCAAGCCAUUUUGCGGAAUCUGGGCUCAUCAUCGCUUCCUCAUAGUUCGUAGGCUCGUCAUGGUCAAGUAACAUGACCUCCAGAACAGGAUUACCGUACCACUCUGGUGCGGAUCUCACUCUGGUUUACCUACGAGGUUUGGUAGUAACUUGAUCUGAAGUUACAUGAUCAUCAUCAUCAGCUUCCUCACUAAUUGGUGUAGGAGUCACAGGAACAAAUUUCUGUGAUGAACUAUUUUCCAUUAAGGGAGCAGGUACAGUUACCUCAUCAAGUUCUACUUUCCUCCCACUCACUUCUUUUGAGAGAAACUCCUUCUCUAGAAAGGAUCCAUUCUUAGCAACGAAUGUCUUACCUUCGGAUCUGUGAUAGAAGGUGUACCCAACUGUCUUCUUUGGGUAUCCUAUGAAGACACAAUUCUCCGAUUUGGGUUUGAGCUUAUCAGGAUGAAAACUUUUUCACAUAAGCAUCGCAACCCCAAACUUCAAGAAACGACAGCUUAGGUUUCUUGCUAAACCACAGUUCAUACGGUGUCGUCUCAACAGAUUUAGAUGGUGCCCCUUUUUUAACGUGAAUGCAGUUGUCUCUAUUGCAUAACCCCAAAAUGAUAGUGGUAAAUCGGUAAGAAACAUCAUAGAUUGCACUAUAUCCAAUAAAGUACGGUUAUGACGUUCGGACACACCAUUAUGCUGUGGUGUUCCAGGUGGCACGAAUUUGUGAAACUAUUCCACAUUGUUUUAAUUGAAGACCAAACUCGUAACUCAAAUAUUCAUCUCCGUGAUCAGAUUGUAGAUACUUUAUUUUCUUGUCACGAUGAUUUUCCACUUCACUCUGGAAUUCUUUGAACUUUUCAAAUGUUUCAGACUUAUGUUUCAUCAAGUAGAUAUACCUAUAUCUGCUCAAAUCAUCUGUGAAGGUCAGAAAAUAACUAUACCCGCCGCAAGCCUCAAUACUCAUCGGACUGUAUACAUCAGUAUGUAUUAUUUCCAACAAGUUUGUUGCUUGCUCCAUAGUUCCGGAGAACGGCGUUUUAGUCAUCUUGCCCAUGAGGCAUGGUUCGUAAGUACCAAGUGAUUCAUAAUCAAGUGAUUCCAAAAGUCCAUCGGAAUGGAGUUUCUUCAUGCGCUUUACACCAAUAUGACCUAAACGGCAGUGCCACUAAUAAGUUGCACUAUCAUUAUUAACUUUGCAUCUUUUGGCUUCAAUAUUAUGAAUAUGUGUAUCACUACGAUCGAGAUCCAACAAACCAUUUUCAUUGGGUGUAUGACCAUAGAAGGUUUUAUUCAUGUAAACAGAACAACAGUUGUUCUCUAACUUAAAUGAAUAACCGUAUUGCAAUAAACAUGAUCAAAUCAUAUUCAUGCUCAACUUAAACACAAAAUAACACUUAUUUAGGUUCAACACUAAUCCCGAAAGUAUAGGGAGUGUGCGAUGAUGAUCGUAUCAAUCUUGGAACCAUUUCCAACACACAUCGUCACUUCACCCUUAACUAGUCUCUGUUCAUUCUGCAACUCCCGUUUCGAGUUACUAAUCUUAGCAACUGAACUAGUAUCAAAUACUGAGGGGUUUCUAUAAACACUAGUAAAGUACACAUCAAUAAUAUGUAUAUAAAAUAUACCUUUGUUUACUUUGCCUUCCUUCUUAUCCGCCAAAUACUUGGGGCAGUUCCGCUUCCACUGACCAGCCCCUUUGCAGUAGAAGCACUUAGUCUCAGGCUUAGGUCCAGACUUCGGUUUCUUCACUUGAGCAGCAACUUGCUUGCCGUUCUUCUUGAAGUUCCCCUUCUUCCCUUUGCCCUUUUAUUGAAACUAGUGGUCUUGUCAACCAUCAACACUUGAUGUUUUUCUUGAUUUCUACCUUCGUCGAUUUCAGCAUCACGAAGAGCUUGGGAAUCGUUUCCGUUAUCCCUUGCAUAUUAUAGUUCAUCACGAAGUUCUAGUAACUUGGUGAUAGUGACUAGAGAAUUCUGUCAAUCACUAUCUUAUCUGGAAGAUUAACUCCCACUUGAUUCAAGUGAUUGUAGUACUCAGACAUUCUGAGCACAUGCUUACUAGCCGAGCAAUUCUCCUCCAUCUUGUAGGCAAAGUACUUUUCAAAGGUCUCAUACCUUUCGACAUGGGCAUGAGUCUGAAAUACUAAUUUCAACUCUUGGAACAUCUCAUAUGCUCUGUGGCGUUUCAAAAACGUCUUUGAAGCCCCGAUUCUAAGCCGUAAAGCAUGGUGCACUAAACUAUCAAGUAGUCAUCAUAUCGAGCUUGCCAAACGUUCAUAACGUCUGCAUUUGCUCCUGCAAUCGGUGUGUCACCUAGCGGUGCAUCAAGGACAUAAUUCUUCUGUGCAGCAAUGAGGAUAAUCCUCAGAUCACGGAUCCAAUCCGCAUCAUUGCUAUUAACAUCUUUCAACUUAGUUUUCUCUAGGAACAUAUCAAAAAUAAAACAGGGGAGCUAAACGUGAGCUAUUGAUCUACAACAUAGAUAUACUAAUACUACCAGGACUAAGUUCAUGAUAAAUUAAAGUUCAAUUAAUCAUAUUACUUAAGAACUCCCACUUAGAUAGACAUCCCUCUAAUCAUCUAAGUGAUCACGUGAUCCAAAUCAACUAAACCAUGUCCGAUCAUCACGUGAGAUGGAGUAGUUUUCAAUGGUGAACAUCACUAUGUUGAUCAUAUCUACUAUAUGAUUCACGCUCGACCUUUCGGUCUCAGUGUUCCGAGGCCAUAUCUGCAUAUGCUAGGCUCGUCAAGUUUAAACUAAGUAUUCCGCGUGUGCAAAACUGUCUUGCACCCGUUGUAUUUGAACGUAGAGCCUAUCACACCCGAUCAUCACGUGGUUUCUCAGCAGGAAGAACUUUCGCAAUGAUGCAUGCUCAGGGAGAACACUUAUACCUUGAAAUUUAGUGAGAGAUCAUCUUAUAAUGCUACCGUCGAUCUAAACAAAAUAAGAUGCAUAAACGAUAAACAUCACAUGCAGUCAAUAUAAGUGAUAUGAUAUGGCCAUCAUCAUCUUGUGCUUGUGAUCUCCAUCUCUGAAGCACCGUCAUGAUCACCAUCAUCACCGGCGCGACACCUUGAUCUCCAUCGUAGCAUCGUUGUCGUCUCGCCAACUAUUGCUUCUACGACUACCGCUUAGUGAUAAAGUAAAGCAAUUACAGGGCGAUUGCAUUGCAUACAAUAAAGCGACAACCAUAUGGCUCCUGCCAGUUGCCGAUAACUCGGUUACAAAAUAUGAUCAUCUCAUACAAUAAAAUAUAGCAUCAUGUCUUGACCAUAUCACAUCACAACAAGCCCUGCAAAAACAAGUUAGACGUCCUCUACUUUGUUGUUGCAAGUUUUACGUGGCUGCUACGGGCUGAGCAAGAACCGUUCUUACCUACGCAUCAAAACUACAACGAUAUUUCGUCAAGUUAGUGUUGUUUUAACCUUCUCAAGGAUCGGGCGUAGCCACACUCGGUUCAACUAAAGUUGGAGAAACUGACACCCGCCAGCCACCUAUGUGCAAAGCACGUCGGUGGAAGCAGUCUCGCGUAAGCGUACGCGUAAUGUCGGUCUAGGCCGCUUCAUCCAAUAAUACCGCCGAACCAAAGUAUGACAUGCUGGUAAGCAGUAUGAUUUGAAUCGCCCACAACUCACUUGUGUCAUACUCGUGCAUAUAACAUCUACGCAUAAAACUAGGCUCUGACACCACUGUUGGGAACGUAGUAGAUUAGAAAAAAUUCCUACGCACACAUAGAAGCAUGGUGAUGCAUAGCAACGAGAGGGGAGAGUGUUGUCCAUGUACCCUCAUAGACCGAAGGCGGAAGCGUUAGAACAACGCGGUUGAUGUAGUCAUACGUCUUCACGAUCCGACAGAUCCAAUUACCGAACGUACGGCACCUCCGAGUUCAGCACACGUUCAACUCGAUGAUGUCCCGCGAACUCCGAUCCAGCAGAGCUUCAUGGAAGAGUUCCGUCAACACGACGGCGUGAUGACGGUGAUGAUGUUGCUACCGACGCAGGAGAUAUCACCAAGGUGGAAUAUGGUGGAGGAGGGCACUGCACACGGCUAGGAGAUAUCAACAUAUCAACUUGUGUGUUCUAGGGUGCCCCCUGCCCCCGUAUACAAAGGAGCAAGGGGGGAGGCCGGCCGGCCCCUGUAGGGCGUGCCAGGAGGAGGAGUCCUCCUCCUAGUAGGAGUAGGACUCCCCUUUCCUACUCCUACUAGGAGGAGGAAAGGAAGGAAGAGAAGGAGAAGGAAGGAGAGGGGGGGGGGAAAGGAGGAAAGGGGGGCCACGCCCCUAGUCCAAUUCGGUUUGGGCUAGGGGGGCGCGCGCCCUGCCUCCUCUCUUCCACCACUUGGCCCAUGAGGCCCAUUACUUCUUCCUCGUAUUCCCGUAACUCCCCGGUACCCCCGAAAAUACCCGAAUCACUCGGAACCUUUACGAUGUCCGAAUAUAGUCGUCCAAUAUAUCGAUCUUUACGUCUCGACCAUUUCGAGACUCCUCGUCGUGUCCCCGAUCUCAUCCGGGACUCCGAACUACCUUCGGUACAUCAAAUCACAUAAACUCAUAAUACCGAUCGUCACAGAACUUUAAGCGUGCGGACCCUACGGGUUCGAGAACUAUGUAGACAUGACUGAGACACGUCUCCGGUCAAUAACCAAUAGCAGCACCUGGAUGCUCAUAUUGGCUCCCACAUAUUCUACGAAGAUCUUUAUCGGUCAAACCGCAUAACAACAUACGUUGUUCCCUUUGUCAUCGCUAUGUUACUUGCCCGAGAUUCGAUCGUCGGUAUCUCAAUACCUAGUUCAAUCUCGUUACCGGCAAGUCUCUUUACUCGUUCCGUAAUACAUCAUCCCGCAACUAACUCAUUAGUUACAAUGCUUGCAAGGCUUAUAGUGAUGUGUAUUACCGAGUGGGCCCAGAGAUACCUCUCCGACAAUCGGAGUGACAAAUCCUAAUCUCGAAAUACGCCAACUCAACAAGUACCUUCAGAGACACCUGUAGAGCACCUUUAUAAUCACCCAGUUACGUUGUGACGUUUGGUAGCACACAAAGUGUUCCUCCGUUUAACGGGAGUUGCAUAAUCUCAUAGUCAUAGGAACAUGUAUAAGUCAUGAAGAAAGCUAUAACAACAUACUAAACGAUCAAGUGCUAAGCUAACGGAAUGGGUCAAGUCAAUCACAUCAUUCUCCUAAUGAUGUGAUCCCGUUAAUCAAAUGACAACUCAUGUCUAUGGCUAGGAAACAUAACCAUCUUUGAUCAACAAGCUAGUCAAGUAGAGGCAUACUAGUGACACUUUGUUUCUCUAUGUAUUCACACAUGUAUCAUGUUUCCGGUUAAUACAAUUCUAGCAUGCAUAAUAAACAUUUAUCAUGAUAUAAGGAAAUAAAUAAUAACUUUCUUAUUGCCUCUAGGGCAUAUUUCCUUCACUACCCUCCCGUGGCAGCGGGGUCCUAUUGGAAACUAAGGGAUAUUAAGGCCUCCUUUUAAUAGAGUACCGGAUCAAAGCAUUAACACAUACUGAAUACAUGAACUCCUCAAACUACGGUCAUCACCGGGAGUGGUCCCGAUUAUUGUCACUUCGGGGUUGCCGGAUCAUAACACAUAGUAGGUGACUAUAGACUUGAAAAAUAGGAUCAAGAACUCACAUAUAUUCAUGAAAACAUAAUAGGUUCAGAUCUGAAAUCAUGGCACUCGGGUCCUAGUGACAAGCAUUAAGCAUAGCAAAGUCAUAGCAACAUCAAUCUCAGAACAUAGUGGAUACGAGGGGUCAAACCCUAACAAAAUUAACUCGAUUACAUGAUAAAUCUCAUCCAACCCAUCACCGUCCAGCAAGCCUACGAUGGAAUUACUCACGCACAGCGGCGAGCAUCAUGAAAUUGGUGAUGAGGAUGGUUGAUGAUGACGACAGUGACGGAUUCCCCUCUCCGGAGCCCCGAACGGAUUCGAGAUCAGCCCUCCCAAGUGAGUUUAGGGCUUGGCGGCAGCUCCGUAUCGUAAAACGCGAUGAAUCUUUCUCUCUGAUUUUUUUCUCCCCGAACACGAAUAUAUGGAGUUGGAGUUAAGGUCGGUGGAGCUCCAGGGGGCCCACGAGUCAGGGGGCGCGCCCCCCACCCUCGUGGAAAGGGUGUGGGCCCCCUGGCCUUGAUUCUUUCGCCGGUAUUUUUAUUAUUACCAAAAAUAAUCUCCAUGAAGUUUCAGGUCAUUCCGAGAACUUUGUUUCUCCACAUAAAUAACACCAUGGCAAUUCUGCUGAAAACAACGUCAGUCCGGGUUAGUUCCAUUCAAAUCAUGCAAGUUAGAGCCAAAACACGGGCAAAAGUGUUUGGAAAAUUAGAUACGAUGGAGACGUAUCUGCGGGCUUGCAUCCUGGCCCAACUACAGGGUGGGUUUCUAGUCGUAUGCAGGCCGUUGUGGCCCAGUAGGCUGGCUUUUUUAUUUAUUUAUUUUUCUUUUCUGCUUUAUUUUCUUUUAUUUAUUUCUGAGUUGUUUUUUGCAGUAUUUAGAGUUUCUUUGUGAAUAUUUUUGCUUUUAGGUCAAAAAAAUUAUAAACUUUCUGUUAGUGCCAUUAGUUUUCAAAUUUGAAUUAUUUGAAAUUUGUGUGAAGCACUAGUUUCUGAAUAACUUUACUUUAAAAAUAGAUUUUUUAGUGAUUCUUUUUUCUUAUGUUUUAUAUUAGUGUGUCUUAUAAUUAUAUUCAACUUGGUAAUACUUAGGUUAUUUAAAAAAUGUAGGGCCUUUGUAACAGAUGUGUUUUCGUCCGAAACCCCGAUACUUCAAAAGUGAUUGUCCAUUUUGUACACGAAGUGCAUCCAGUUUUUUACCGCAACCCUCUCUAAUUUUUUGCACAUGCUAUGUGGGUGAAAUGAUGAUACCAUGCCAAGUUUUAACCUUUUCAUAGUUCAUUUGAAGUGCUUUUCAAUUUCAGGGUAAUUUAGCUCAAAAGAAAUCAGUAAAUGCAUGAAAAAUAGCAAAUGCAGGCAGAAAGGGUUGAAAGCUGAUGACGUGGCUUUCAAUGGUGCAUACUGAACGCACAAAAAGUCUGGAGUUGUAAUAAGUUUAAAAAAUGAAAUGCCUAUGUAACAGAUGAGUUUUCGUCCGAAACCCUAAUACUUCGAAAGAGAUUGUCCAUUUUGUACACGAAGUGCAUCCAGUUUUUGCCGUAACCCUCUCUACUUUUUUGCACAUGCUAUGUGGGUGAAAUGAUGAUACCAUGCCAACUUUCAGCCUUUUCAGAGUUCAUUUGUAGUGCUUUUCAAUUUCAGGGUCAUUUAGCUCAAAAGAAAUCAGUAAAUGCAUGAAAAANNNNNNNNNNNNNNNNNNNNNNNNNNNNNNNNNNNNNNNNNNNNNNNNNNNNNNNNNNNNNNNNNNNNNNNNNNNNNNNNNNNNNNNNNNNNNNNNNNNNNNNNNNNNNNNNNNNNNNNNNNNNNNNNNNNNNNNNNNNNNNNNNNNNNNNNNNNNNNNNNNNNNNNNNNNNNNNNNNNNNNNNNNNNNNNNNNNNNNNNNNNNNNNNNNNNNNNNNNNNNNNNNNNNNNNNNNNNNNNNNNNNNNNNNNNNNNNNNNNNNNNNNNNNNNNNNNNNNNNNNNNNNNNNNNNNNNNNNNNNNNNNNNNNNNNNNNNNNNNNNNNNNNNNNNNNNNNNNNNNNNNNNNNNNNNNNNNNNNNNNNNNNNNNNNNNNNNNNNNNNNNNNNNNNNNNNNNNNNNNNNNNNNNNNNNNNNNNNNNNNNNNNNNNNNNNNNNNNNNNNNNNNNNNNNNNNNNNNNNNNNNNNNNNNNNNNNNNNNNNNNNNNNNNNNNNNNNNNNNNNNNNNNNNNNNNNNNNNNNNNNNNNNNNNNNNNNNNNNNNNNNNNNNNNNNNNNNNNNNNNNNNNNNNNNNNNNNNNNNNNNNNNNNNNNNNNNNNNAAAAUUACCAAAUGAAGGCAGAAAGGGUUGAAAGCUGAUGACCGUGCUUCGAAUGGUGCAUACUGAUCGCACAAAAAGUGUGGAGUUGUAAUAAGUUUAGAAAAAUGAAAUGCCUUUGUAACAGAUGAGUUUUCGUUCGAAACCCUAAUACUUCGAAAGAGAUUGUCCAUGUUGUACACGAAGUGCAUCCAGGUUUUGCCGUAACCCUCUCUACUUUUUUGCACACGCUAUGUGGGUGAAAUGAUGAUACCAUGCCAAGUUUCAACCUUUUCAGAGUUCAUUUGUAGUGCUUUUCAAUUUCCGGGUCCUUUAGCUCAAACAAAUGAGUAAAUGCAUGAAAAAUAGCAAAUGAUGUCAGAAAGGGUUGAAACUUGAUGACGUGGCUUUGAAUGGUGCAUACUGAAUGCACACAAAAAUUCUGGAGUUGUAAUAAGUUUUAAAAAAUGAAGGAGAGGCGCGCAAUGCUCACCUACACGUUGCUUAGCUUUGAAGGAAAUAUGCCCUAGAGGUAAUAAUAAUGUUGUUAUUUAUAUUUCCUUAUAUCAUGAUAAAUGUUUAUUAUUCAUGCUAGAAUUGUAUUAAUCGGAAAUUUAGUACAUGUGUGAAUACAUAGACAAUCAAAGUGUCACUAGUAUGCCUCUACUUGACUAGCUCGUUAAUCAAAGAUGGUUAAGUUUCCUAACCAUAUACAUCAGUUGUCAUUUGAUUAACGGGAUCACAUCAUUAGAGAAUGAUGUGAUUGACAUGACCCAUCCGUUAGCUUAGCACUAUGAUCGUUUAGUUUGUUGCUAUUGCUUUUUCAAGACUCAUACAUGUUCCUAUGACUAUGAGAUUAUGCAACUCCUGAAUACCGGAGGAACACUUAGUGUGCUAUCGAACGUCACAAUGUAACUAGGUGAUUAUAAAGAUGCUCUACAGGUGUUUCCGAUGGUGUUUGUUGAGUUGGCAUAGAUCGAGAUUAGGAUUUGUCACUCCGAUUGUCGGAGAGGUAUCUCUGGGCCCUCUCGGUAAUGCACAUCACUAUAAGCCUUGCAAGCAAUGUGACUAAUGAGUUAGUUGCGGGAUGAUGCAUUACGGAACGAGUAAAGAGACUUGCCGGUAACGAGAUUUAACUAGGUAUUGAGAUACCGAUGAUCGAAUCUCGAGCAAGUAACAUACCGAUGACAAAGGGAACAAUGUAUGUUGUUAUGCGGUUUGACCGAUAAAGAUCUUCGUAGAAUAUGUGGGAGCCAAUAUGAGCAUCCAGGUUCCGCUAUUAGUUAUUGACCAGAGAUAAGUCUCGGUUAUGUCUACAUAGUUCUAUUAAUUCAACUAAGCACUUACUACAAAUAAACUAGUUCUAUUAAUUUUUUACUAAAAAUAAAGUAGCUAGUUCUAUAUAGUAAAUUUUAAUUAGAUGAUCAAAUCUCAUAUACCUAAAUUUAAUAUAUCUAAUUCAUCUAACAUUAAUAUAUCUAAAUUAUCUAUAACUAAAAUUAGUAUAUAAAAAACUAACACAUCUAACAUUAAUAUCUAGCUAAUUCAUCUAAUAUUUGACAUUAAUAUCCAACAUUUCUAUCUAAUUCAUCUAACAUUUGAAAUUAAUAUCUAACAUUUAUAUAUAUCCAUAUAAUCAUCUAACAGUUGACAUUAAUUAAUCUAACAUUUAUAUAAACUAAAAGUAUAAAAAACUAAAAAACAGAAAACACAAAAUAAUUAAGAAAAAUCUGUCUCUGUGUGUACUGUGUGUACAUGUGAGUGUGUACUGUGUGUGUGAGGGCCGCCGGCCAUGGCGCGCGCNNNNNNNNNNGACGACGACGUACGGGGACGGGCGCGCGACGAUGACGUACGGGGACGACGAAGGGGACGGGGACGGGCCCGCGCGACGGGGGCGACGACGGGGACGGGCGCGGCGGCGACGGGGACGCGGGCGCGACGACAAAGAAGCAGAUGAAGAAGAAACUAACUGAAUUUUUCGUAAGUGCUAUAUUUAUAGGAGGGGCCUUUAGUACCGGUUGGAGCCACCAACCGUACUAAAGGCCUAUUUUGGCCAGGCCAAGCGGCGGGAAGAGCACCCCUUUAGCACUGGGUCGUGGCAGAAACCGGUACUAAAGACCCCCCCUUUAUUACUAAAGGUGUGCGCUGGUGCAGGCACGGUGCGGGCAAGUUUAGUCCCACCUCGCUAGCCAGGGGCGCCCGCACCUACUUACAAGCCCCGCCGCGGCAGCUGUCUCGAGCUCCUCUCUAUUGCAGGCCUUCUGGGCUUACCUCUGCUUGCAUACCAUGUUGGGCCUACUGGGCUAGCGGUCCUGCAUCCUCGCCCAACUACAGGUUGGGUUUCUAGUCGUAUGUAGGCCGCUGUGGCCCAGUAGGCUGGCUUUUUUAUUUUUUUAUUUUUCUUUUUUGCUUUAUUUUCUUUCAUUUAUUUCUGAGUUGUUUUUUGCUGUAUUUAGAGUUUCUUUGUGAAUAUUUUUGCUUUUAGGUCAAAAAAUUAUAAACUUUCUGUUAGUGCCAUUAGUUUUCAAAUUUAAAUUAUUUGAAAUUUGUGUGAAUCACUAGUUUCUGAAUAACUUUACUUUAAAAUAGAUUUUUCAGUGAUUCUUUUUUCUUAUGUUUAAUAUUAGUGUGUCUUAUAAUUAUAUUCAAUUUGGUAAUACUUAGGUUAUUUAAAAAAUGUAAUGCCUUUGUAACAGACGAGUUUUCGUCCGAAACCCCGAUACUUCAAAAGAGAUUGUCCAUUUUGUACACGAAGUGCAUCCAGUUUUUUGCGUAACCCUCUCUACUUUUUUGCACAUGCUAUGUGGGUGAAAUGAUGAUACCGUGCCAACUUUCAGCCUUUUCAGACUUCAUUUAUAGUGCUUUUCAAUUUCAGGGUCAUUUAGCUCAAAAAAAUCAGUAAAUGCAUGAAAAAUAGCAAAUGAAGGCAGAAAGGGUUGAAAGCUGAUGAUGUGACUUUGAAUUGUGCAUACUGAACGCACAAAAAGUAUGGAGUUGUAAUAAGUUUUAAAAAAUGUAAUGCCUUUGUAACAGAUGAGUUUUCGUCCGAAACCCUGAUACUUCGAAAGAGAUUGUCCAUCUUAUACGCGAAGUGCAUCCAGUUUUUGCCGUAACCCUCUCUACUUUUCUGCACAUGCUAUGUGGGUGAAAUGAUGAUACCAUGACAACUUUCAGCCUUUUCAGAGUUCAUUUAUAGUGCUUUUCAAUUUCAGGGUCAUUUAGCUCAAAAAAAAUCAGUAAAUGCAUGAAAAAUAGCAAAUGAAGGCAGAAAGGGUUGAAAGCUGAUGACGUGGCUUUGAAUGGUAGAUACUGAACGCACAAAAAGUCUGGAGUUGUAAUAACUUUAGAUAAAUGAAAUGCCUUUGUAACAGAUGAGUUUUCGUUCGAAACUCUAAUACUUCGAAAGAGAUUGUCCAUGUUGUACACGAAGUGCAUCCAGUUUUUGCCGUAACCCUCUCUACUUUUUUGCANNNNNNNNNNNNNNNNNNNNNNNNNNNNNNNNNNNNNNNNNNNNNNNNNNNNNNNNNNNNNNNNNNNNNNNNNNNNNNNNNNNNNNNNNNNNNNNNNNNNNNNNNNNNNNNNNNNNNNNNNNNNNNNNNNNNNNNNNNNNNNNNNNNNNNNNNNNNNNNNNNNNNNNNNNNNNNNNNNNNNNNNNNNNNNNNNNNNNNNNNNNNNNNNNNNNNNNNNNNNNNNNNNNNNNNNNNNNNNNNNNNCUCAUGACGUGGCUUCGAAUGGUGCAUACUGAACGCAGAAAAAGUCUGGAGUUGUAAUAUGUUUAGAAAAAUGAAGUGCCUUUGUAACAGAUGAGUUUUCGUCCGAAACUCUCAUACUUCGAAAGAGAUUGUCCAGUUUGUACAAAAAGUGCAUCCAGUUUUUUCCGUAACCCUAUCUACUUUUUUCCACAUGCUAUGUGGGUGAAAUGAUGAUACCAUGCCAAGUUUCAACCUUUUCAGAGUUCAUUUGAAGUGCUUUUCAAUUUCCAGGUCAUUUAGCUCAAACAAAUCAGUAAAUGCAUGAAAAAUAACAAAUGAUGUCAGAAAGGGUUGAAAGUUGAUGACGUGGCUUUGAAUGGUGCAUACUGAAUGCACACAAAAAUUCUGGAGUUGUAAUAAGUUUAGAAAAAUGAAGGAGAGGCGCGCAAAGCUCACCUGCACGUUGCUUAGCUUUGAAGGAAAUAUGCCCUAGAGGCAAUAAUAAAGUUGUUAUUUAUAUUUCCUUAUAUCAUGAUAAAUGUUUAUUAUUCAUGCUAGAAUUGUAUUAAACGGAAAUUAAGUACAUGUGUGAAUACAUAGACAAACAGAGUGUCACUAGUAUGCCUCUACUUGACUAGCUCGUUAAUCAAAGAUGGUUAAGUUUCCUAGCAAUAGACAUCAGUUGUCAUUUGAUUAACGGGGUCAGAUCAUUCAAGAAUGAUGUGAUUGACAUGACCCAUCCAUUAGCUUAGCACUAUUAUCGUUUAGUUUGUUGCUAUUGCUUUCUUCAUGACUUAUACAUGUUCCUAUGACUAUGAGAUUAUGCAACUCCCGAAUACCGGAGGAACACUUAGUGUGCUAUAGAUAUGUCUCCAACGUAUCUAUAAUUUUUUAUUGUUCCAUGCUAUUAUAUAAUCCAUCUAGGAUGUUUUAUAUGCAUUUAUAUGCUAUUUUAUAUGAUUUUUGGGACUAACCAAUUAACCUAGAGCCCAGUGCCAGUUUCUGUUUUUUCCUUGUUUUUGAGUAUCGCAGAAAAGGAAAACCAAACGGAGUCCAAUUGACCUGAAAAUUGACGGAGAUUAUUUUUGGACCAGAAGAAGCUCACGAAGCAUCGGAGAUGGACCAGAAGAGUCCCGAGGCACCCACGAGGGUGGGGGGCACGCCCUACCUCCCUGGGCGCGCCCCCUACCUCAUGGCCGCCUCGGGGACCCCCCCUGACUUGUUCCCGACGCCAAUACCUCUUAUAUAUACCCAAACUUCCAGAAAGAAACCUAGAUCGGGAAUUCCGCCACCGCAAGCCUCUGUAGCCACCAAAAACCAAUCGGGACCCUGUUUUGGCACCCUGCAGGAGGGGGGAUCCCUCACCGGUGGCCAUCUUCAUCAUCCCAGCGCUCUUCAUGACAAGGAGGGAGUAGUUCACCCUCGGGGCUGAGGGUAUGUACCAGUAGCUGUGUGUUUCAUCUCUCUCUCGUGUUCUUGAUUCGGCACGAUCUUUAUGUAUCGCGAGCUUUGCUAUUAUAGUUGGAUCUUAUGAUGUUUCUCCCCCUCUACUCUCUUGUAAUGGAUUGAGUAUUCCCUUUGAAGUUAUCUUAUCGAAUUGAGUCUUUAAGGAUUUGAGAACACUUGAUGUAUGUCUUGCGUUGGAUACCCGUGGUGAAAAUGGGGUAUUCUAUGAUGUAUGUCUUGGUGAUCAACUUGCGGGUUCCGUGACCUUGGGAAUCUAUGCAUAGGGGUUGGCACACGUUUUCAUCUUGACUCUUCGAUAGAAACUUUGGGGCACUCUUUGAAGUUCUUUGUGUUGGUUGAAUAGAUGAUUCUGAGGUUGUGUGAUGCAUAUCGUAUAAUCAUACCCACGGAUACUUGAGGUGACAUUGGAGUAUCUAGGUGACAUUAGGGUUUUGGUUGAUUUGUGUCUUAAGGUGUUAUUCUAGUAUGAACUCUAGGAUAGAUUGAACGGAAAGAAUAGCUUCGUGUUAUUUUACUACAUACUCUUGAAUAGAUCGAUCAGAAAGAAUAACUUUUAGGUGGUUUCGUACCCUACAAUAAUCUCUUCGUUUGUUCUCCGCUAUUAGUGACUUUGGAGUGACUCUUUGUUGCAUGUUGAGGGAUAGUUAUAUGAUCCAAUUAUGUUAUUAUUGUUGAGAGAACUUGCAUUAGUGAAAGUAUGAACCCUAGCCCUUGUUUCCUUGCAUUGCAAUACCGUUUACGCUCACUUUUAUCGCUUGUUACCUUGCUAUUUUCAUAAUUUCAGAUUACAAAAACCUAUAUCUACCAUCCAUAUUGCACUUGUAUCACCAUCUCUUUGCCGAACUAGUGCACCUAUACAAUUUACCAUUGUAUUGGGUGUGUUGGGGACACAAGAGACUCUUUGUUAUUUGGUUGCAGGGUUGCUUUAGAGAGACCAUCUUCAUCCUAUGCCUCCCACGGAUUGAUAAACCUUAGGUCAUCCACUUGAGGGAAAUUUGCUACUGUCCUACAAACCUCUGCACUUGGAGGCCCAACAACGUCUACAAGAAGAAGGUUGUGUAGUAGACAUCAAGCUCUUUUCUGGCGCCGUAGCCGGGGAGGUGAAUGCUUGAAGGUAUAUCUUUAGAUCUUGCAAUCGAAUCUUUUAUUUUCUUGUUUUAUCACUAGUUUAGUCUAUAAAAGAAAACUAAAAAAUGGAAUUGAGGGUGCCUCAUAUGCUUCAUCUUUUUAAUAUCUUUCGUGAAAAUGAUGGAAAGGAAAAUUGUGCUCAAGUGUUAGAAGAAGAAUGCAUUAGAAUGUUUAGCACUAAAUAUUUGAAUGAUGAGCAUGAUUGCAAUGUUGUUAGUAUGAAUUCCUUGAAUAUCCAUGAUGCUAAUGAUAUGCAAAGCCACAAGCUUGGGGAUGCUAUGUUUGACGAAGAUGAUAUUUUUUGUCACCCAAGUUUUGAUGAGAAAAUUUAUUAUGAUGACAGCAUUCCUCUUAUUUAUGAUGAUUAUAAUUAUGAAAGUGGAUUUGAAGAGGUCAUGACUUUAUUUAGUGAUGAAUCCACUAUUUCGGAAGAGGUUCCAAUUGAUUAUGAGAAUAAAGUUGUUAUCUAUGAUGAUUAUUGUGAUGACUUGUAUGCUAUUAAGAAUAAUGAUAACCAUGAAACUUGUCAUCAUGAUUUUAGUUUUCAAUUCGAUUAUGUUUCACAUGAUAGUUAUUUUGUUGAGUUUGCUCCCACUACUAUUCAUGAGAACAAAUUUGCUUAUGUGGAGAGUAGUAAAAUUUAUAUGCUUGUGCAUCAUGAGAAUAAUGUUUUAUGUGAUGGUUAUAUUGUUGAAUUAAUUCAUGAUGCUACUGAAAAUUAUUAUGAGAGAGGAUCACAUGCUUCUACAUAUUGCAAUAAUAUCAAGUUUCCUCUCUAUGUGUUGAAAUUUUGAUGUCAUGCUUGUUUUGCCUUCCUAUGCUAGUUGAUUCUUGCAUCACAGAGAAAGCCAUUAAGUCAUUAUCAACUGAAACUCAUAGAGAAAGGGAUCCGCAAAACCCCUCGCCAUUACCGUAUGACCAGGUUUUAAAGCCUGCAAGUUAAGUUGUUGGCUGCUCUUAGCGAUUGAGUGCCAACAUGGACCUAUUUGUUAGCUUUGAACCGAGAAGGUCCCUCAACCAUAGCGUGGUACGAACCAGUGGCUUCCCUACCGAAACCGGAGAAAUCCUCUGUUCUGCUCAUGUCUUUUCAUUGCUUAGCUUUUCAAUUCAUAUCCUUCAUCCAAAAUAAAAGGAAUCUCCCUUUGUUAGAAGAAAGCAGGUUUUUGUUUUCGAGGAUAUGGUUAUAGUUCUUUAGGAAGAAGACAACUCACCAAAGGGUUCCUUUACCGAUUCUGGCAUCUAUCCAGUACCUUGAGUGGCCCGUUCUAUUAGAAAGAAUCUCUUUGAUCCCGCGCAACAACAGGAAAGAUUUAGUGGACAUCUCUUAAGCUCGGCCUUGGCUUUCUAUUUCUCUUUUUUCUUUUUUCGCCACCUCCUGUGGCUUUCCGUUUAAGGUCUUUCAUUUUCGGCAUUAGCUUCGUUAGAGAAAGCCAUGCGUGAGCUACAAAGCAUGGGAUCCUGAACACCAUGAAAGAAAGCGUACUACUUUUCAAUAAGGUCCGACUUCAGAGAGGAGAGACAUGAACUUGUUUUACGCGUAGAAAAGGCAUACGGUAUGAAAGAUUGAUUGAAAAGAGGUAGGGACUGGUCUCGCUGCUAAGGGAGAAGGAGACCUCUGUCGGAGCAAGCUAAAGAGCCCACUUUAUAUCGUCGAUUUCAGGUAAGGCACUCGAUCAAGCCUAUACAUCCGGGAAUUGAGCUCCAAACCAAAGACGACUUGCUUUGCUGCAUUUCUUGGGCCAGGGCUUUACUUGAUUUUGGCGAAAGAAAGGCCAUAUGAUCUACUUUCUGGUGCCGGUCCCUUCACAAAGAUAGCCCCUUCUUGCUCUUAUUCUUAUUCUUAUUCUUAUUCGGUGGAAUACAAGAGUUCUGAAGCUCCUUUCUUUCAAGUGAAAGUUGCCUAUCUUUCUUGGUUCAGAAUCCAAUCCAGUUGAAAACAAACAAUUGCCCGAUGGCAAAGUCAGAUGAAAGGCAAGGAGUGUAAAUCACGUACGAGCGUGGCACAGAAAGCGAAAUGUUUUGCAGCGAGUCAAGCGUAAUACGAUCAAAAGGAAAUGGGGUCGAUGCUAAAACUCAAACAGUUCCCCAGAGGGGGCCCCGGGUUGAAAGAGCGAGCUACAUUCUUUCAUAGAAGACAGAAAAUAAGAGGACUGAUGCUUUCUUACUUCAUCUUAAUAUAGGGAUUAUAGCAUUGGAAUUAUGGAAUUUGAAUGGAUUGAGUACAUCAAGAUGAAGAAAUUAACGUAAUAAGCGAUAUUCUCAAAAGAUUCGGUCAUGCCAGAAACCUCAGUGUGCAUGGCACUAAAAAAGGGUACAAAGAACCUGAGAUGCAAGUAAUGGCUGAAUAGCCGGGGAAACACUAAAUAAAGACAAGUGUCAUCCGGACUUACUUGAUUGAUUGAAUUGAGAGAUGGAAAUGCCAUUGAGAGAUUAGAAGGGAUAGAGAAAAUGUCAGAUAGAGGUCGUGCUUCUGCUCAGUCGAAAAGAACAAUCUGAGUGAGGAUAAGGUGGUUUAUGUUAGGGUCCGAGAAAGCAACUUGACAUGCCAAUCCUGACAAGAAUUCCACUCUUUCUGGUCAUGUCAAAAACCACCUCUUGGAAAGCAGAUCGAAAGCCAAUCAUUUCAGAAGAUGAUGACCCUCUUGUGCUCCUACGUUCCUGCUAGUUGGUGGAUGAAGAAUAGGAGAGAGCUUGCUUGAGUAGAAGAUAACCCGCGAGAAGGAUGUUUUGUAGCGCUUUCUCAUACAAAAGGAAAAGGCGUCACGACCGAAGAUAAGGAAAGAUCCCAGCUUUUCAUUGCUCUGUCGCGCCACCCCUCCUCCCAGAGCCGGUUCUUAUCCAUAGAUUUUUCAGCUAAAAGAUACGGUAUAUAUAUCAAUGAAAGCUGGCGCCUUUGGUUCUUGGUACGACUGGUACUUUUUCUCAUUUAUCGGUCUAGUUGGAAAAAUUUCCCCUCAAAGAUCAAGUUUUUCUUAUAUAUUAUGCUGCGCCCUUGCCCUUAACCUUCCUUUCUCUUCUAUAAAAAGGCUGGACGUCAAAUGUAACUGAUGCUUAUAUUCUAAAUAUGACAAGCAAGAAACCUACUAUUGCCGUACCUUAUGACAUUUAUGAAAAAGAAUGUUGUAUUAAGGGGUUUCUAUCAGUUAGUAACAAAGCCGGCAAUAUCCUUGAAUUCAGGGGUCAGCUACGGGACGUAUGUCUCCAUGUGUGCCUAAGAAGCGUCUAUCAUUAUACGCUGUUUAUCCAAUCAAAAACUUCUUCGUUUAGUUGGUAGAACCCACGCCAAUAUCGUAUUGACUCUCUCUCGUCCAAUAAGAGUUUUCGAGAGUUACUUUAUUCAAAUUCUCUCCUUUCCAAUGCUCCACAAGGAAAAAAGAGUAAUAGGACAACAAUCUUGCUUUCAAGUGAUGGUGGGGGAUCAAGAAGAGUGGCAAUAAAUUGUUUGAUCACAAAAUCACUAUGCAUAGGAAGUGGGUUAGACUUAAAUGUGCUAGUCAUAUUCUUCAUGAUGCUCUCUUUAUGUUUCAAUUCUUAUCUUUUAUGUGAGCAUCAUUGAAAUCAUCGUGCCUAACUAGGGGCGUUAAACGUUAGCGCUUGUUGGGAGGCAACCCAAUUUUAUUUUUGUUCUUUGCCUUUUUGCUCCUGUUUAUUAAUAAAUAAUUCAUAUAGCCUCUGUUUAGAUGUGGUUUUAUUGUUUUAAUUAGUGUUUGUGCCAAGUAGAACCUUUGGGAAGACUUGGGUGAAGUCUUUGCGAUCUUGCUGUAAAAAACAGAAACUUUUGCGCUCACAAGAUUAGCUGCCAUUUUUUAAUGGAGAGUGAUUUUGGGUUGAUUAUUUUUUCAGAUGAUUAAUAGACAAAUUCCUCAGGUCCAAAAAUUUAUUUAAGAAUUUUUGGAGUUACAGAAGUAUUCGAAUGAUACAGAUAACUACAGACUGUUCUGUUUUUGACAGAUUCUGUUUUCUAUGUGUUGUUUGCUUAUUUUGAUGAAUCUAUGAGUAGUAUCGGAGGGUAUGAACCAUAGAGAAGUUGGAAUACACUAGAUAUUACACCAAUAUGAAUUUAGAAUGAGUUCACAACAGUACCUAAGUGGUGAUUUAUUUUCUUAUACUAACGGAGCUUACGAGUUUUCUGUUAAGUUUUGUGUUGUGAAGUUUUCAAGUUUUGGGUAAAGAUUCGAUGGACUAUGGAAUAAGGAGUGGCAAGAGCCUAAGAUUGGGGAUGCCCAAGGCACCCCAAGGUAAAAUUCAAGGACAACCAAAAGCCUAAGCUUGGGGAUGCCCCGGAAGGCAACCCCUCUUUCUUCUUCGUUCAUCGGUAACUUUACUUGGAGCUAUAUUUUUAUUCACCAUAUGAUAUGUGUUUUGCUUGGAGCGUCAUUUUAUUUUAUUUUGUUUUGCUUGCUGUUCGAAUAAAAUAUCAAGAUCUGAAAUUCUUAAAUGAUAGAGAGUCUUCACAGAGUUGCAUAAUUAUUCGGCUACUCAUUGAUCUUCACUUAUAUCUUUCGGAGUAGUUUGUCAUUUGCUCUAGUGCUGCACUUAUAUCCUUUUAGAGCACGGCGGUGGUUUUAUUUUGAAGAAAUAGAUUAAAUCUCAUGCUUCACUUAUAUUAUUUUGAGAGUCUUUAGAACAGCAUGGUAAUUUGCUUGGGUUAUGACUUUAGUCCUAAUAUGAUGGGUAUCCACGAUGGUUAUAAUAAAAAAUUUGAUAUAAAGUGCAUUGAAUACUAUGUGAAGUUUGAUUCCUUAUGAUUGUUUUGGGAUAUGAGGAUGGUAAUAUUAGAGUCAUGCUAGUGAGUACUCCCUCCGUUCCUAAAUACUUGUCUUUCUGGGCAUUUCAACAAGUGACUACAUACGGAGUAAAAUGAGUGAAUCUACACUCUAAAAUAUGUCUACAUACAUCCGUAUGUGAUAUUCAUUUGAAAUGCCUAGAAAGACAAGUAUUUAGGAACGGAGGGAGUAGUUGUGAAUUUGAGAGAUACUUGUGUUAAAGUUUGUGAUUCCCGUAGCAUGCACGUAUGGUGAACCGUUAUGUGAUGAAGUCGGAGCAUGAUUUAUUUUUUGAUUGUCUUCCUUAUGAGUGGCAGUCGGGGAUGAGCGAUGGUCUUUUCCUACCAAUCUAUCCCCCUAGGAGCAUGCGCGUAGUACUUCAUUUCGAUAACUAAUAGAUUUUUGCAAUAAGUAUGUGAGUUCUUUAUGACUAAUGUUGAGUCCAUGGAUUAUACGCACUCUCACCCUUCCACCAUUGCUAGCCUCUCUAGUAUCGCGCAACUUUCGCCGGUACCAUACACCCACCAUUACCUUCCUCAAAACAACCACCAUACCUACCUAUUAUGGCAUUUCCAUAGCCAUUCCGAGAUAUAUUGCCAUGCAACUUUCCACUGUUCCAUUUAUUAUGACACGCUCCAUCAUUGUCAUAUUGCUUUGCAUGAUCAUGUAGUUGACAUCGUAUUUGUGGCAAAGCCACCGUUCAUUAUUUUCGUACAUGCCACUCUUGAUUCAUUAUCCCAGUACACCGCCGGAGGCAUUCACAUAGAUUCGUAUUAUUUUCUAAGUAUCGAGUUGUAAGUAAAUAAAAGUGUGAUGGUCAUCAUUAUUAGAGCAAUGUCCCAUGUGAGGAAAGGAUGAUGGAGACUAUGAUUCCCCCACAAGUCGGGAUGAGACUCCGGACGAAAAAUAAAAAAAAUAAAAGAGGACAUAAAAAAAGAGAAAGGCCCAAACAAAAAAAAAAGAGAAAAAAUGAAAGAAAAAGAGAGAUGGGACAAUGUUACUAUCCUUUUACCCCACUUGUGCUUCAAAGUAGCACCGUGAUCUUCAUGAUAGAGAGUCUCCUAUGUUAUCACUUUCAUAUACUAGUGGGAAUCUUUCUUUAUAAAACUUAGCUUGUAUAUUCCAAUGAUGGGCUUCCUCAAAAUGCCCUAGGUCUUCGUGAGCAAGCGAGUUGGAU